UAUCUUCCCUUACCCUUCAUGCUUAAAUAAAUAACUAACUUAGACAUAUUAUGGUUCAGUUUUAUUUUACUAUUUGGAUAUCUGAGUUUUCAGUUGGUUUUGGAAUGUAAUAAAGGAAUUUGUGUUCUCUUGAAAUGAAAAUGGUUUUCUACCCCUCGUGGUACCGUUUUGAAAAGAUAAAAGUUCCUGUGUAGGAAACAGUUUUCAAAAGAUUUUCUGUGGAUUUUGUGUCUUAGUAUUUCAAAACCUGUUUCUAUGGUUGAAAACAUUUUAACUGAUAGAUGUGGAUUUAUAUUUAAAUAGCGAAUGUAUAUUUGUGAAUCUGUGGUGAAUGGUGUAUGAAUGUAUAUCUGUGGUUAUUUGUAUGUUCAUCUGGUUGUAGUUGUUGUAUGAUUGAACUCUUGUACUUGUGCGACGCCGUGCAAAUACAGGGGAGACUCUGUCCGUGUGAACAGUGGAACUCCUAUAUUUGUGGCGGAUUUGGCACACUCUGGGGUCAGGUUUUCAAAAAAAAUUUCAGACGCUUUUCCGCUACCUUUUAAACUAAAAGGGACCCUGGGGCGUGACAAAUAAAGAUCUACUAAUCAGGUUCCGUCGGAUUUCAGGAGAAUGCUGCACAUUGUGAAGGAUUAACGUCUUUCCUGAAGUUAACUUCAGCUUGACUGUUCCGAUCCCCAAUACAUUGACAGCUUUUCCAUCUCCAACAGUCAUACAUCCUCCACUUGUGUCCUGAUAAGAGGAGAAUAGGGAUCUAUUAGUGCAAACAUGGACAUUGGCUCCAGAGUCUAACCACCAAUCUAAAUCAUGAUAGGUAAGGUUAACAUUAGGUACAAAUGAUACUGACCUAAAAGUGGAGUUGGAAGGUCACUCUCAAUCAUAUUGACCUGAGGUUUAGGAUAGUUGUUCUGAGUGUUUUGGCCCUUCUUGUAGACAACCUUCUCUUUCUUCCGAUGAAAAUAUUUUGAAGCAAAAUGGUUGUCACGGCCACAUACAUAUCAGAAACCAUCCUUCUUCUUAUUCCCACUAGGUUGGUUGGUAUUAGGUUUCUGGGUAUAGUUCCGGUUUCGAUUAGGGUUCCUACCUUUAAAACCUUUACCCUUAGGUUUAAAAUUUUUACCUUUGGGUUUAGGCUUGUGGCUCUGGUUUUGAAUCUCGGUCAGGUUUAUGUUUGAUCGGUUGUUGGACGGUUUAAUCUCCCUAAGUCGGUAUUGGUCUUCUAUUCUAAUAGCUUGGAUUACCGAUCUAAGCUUAAGAGUUUUCUGGGUACGUCCAAGCUCAUGGGCAAAUUUGGUCCAGGAAGGGGGUAAUUUAUCCAAUAGACAGGUUGCCUGAUAGGUUUCAUUUAAGAUUGAUCCAUUUCUAUGAAUUUCUUGGACAAAAUUCUGAAAUUGAUGGAUUUGAUCAUUUAUAGGAAUGUUAUCUACCAUUCUAAAAUUGUUAAAAUAGGUAAUGGUAAAUCUGGCGACACCUUCAUUAUCUCUAAUGUAGGCAUCUUCUAAGGCAAGCCAUAAAUCUUUGACAGUUUGAUAUUUCCUAUAGGUUUCAUAAAGUUCAUCAGGUUGGCAGUUAAGUAUUCUAAACCUACAGUGAAAUUCAAUUUCCUCAGGAGAUUUGUCAGUUUUAGGUUCUGUAACUGAGGUGGUAGUAGAAUCAAAUGGAGGAGUUUCAAUAGGUGGAUCAGAAGAAUUUUUAGAAGUAGGAUAAGGAGGUGUUUUUCCAAUUGCAGUUAUGAGGCCUAAGGUGAUAAGCCAAGCCUCUAACUGCUCUUGUCACCUUAAAAAACCUACCUCUUUAAAUUUUUCUGGUUUAAGGCUAGAAGUAUCAUCAAAACCCAUUCUAAACAAUCUAGUUGAGGGAACAAAGAAAUUAAGGAUGAUUGAAAAGAGCUGCAAAAAAGGUUCAAAAAACUUUUUUAGAAAAACAAACAUGUUAAGGUUUCUACCUUAGUCAACCAGAAUAUUUUAGGGUUUAAGUUUUUAAAUUUUAUCUUUUAUGAAAGUUCGUUCAGCAGCAAACAGAUGGCCUAAACAAUUUAAAUAUUUGAUUUCAAUUAAGUAAUCUUGAAUAGAUAUAUAUAUGCAAUCAAAUACUCUUUAUGCAGCAACCAGAUUAUAUAGAAAAUACUGAAACAAAAGAGAUUAUAAAAAUGGAAUGGGCUUGUUGGUUAGGUCCAGCUUUUAUAAAGUAGUGGAGAUAACCAGCUGAGGGUUCGAGUCCUCCUUAAAGCAAAUAUUUUUUUUCUUUUUUUUUUAUAUUAUCAAAACAGUAAAAUAUAAAUAUAUAUUUGAAAAUAGUAUAUAUAUAAAUUAAACUUUAAAAAGCUGUACACUUAAAAAUAAUUUACUAUAGCAAAUGUUUUUUUUUUUUUUUUUUUAAACCGUACAAGUAGUUUAAAACUUUUAACAAACAGUAAAAUUUUUUUUAAAAAUAAUCAAAAAGUUUUAUUGUAGCAAGAUUCAAACGUACACAGGAGAGUUAUAAAAAAAAAUUCACUGUAACAAUUAUUAUUAUUAUUUUUUUUAUGAAAUAGUUUUACUGUAGCAAAACUAAAAACUUAAAUUUACAGUAGCAACUAUUUUUUUUUUUUUAAAUAACAGUAGAAGUCAAAUAAAAAUUGCAAGUAAACUAUAUGCAAUUAGAAUUUGAAAAUGCUAAUCCCAACUUAAAUUAAUUUUGUAUGUCAAUCAUACAAGCAAGUUAUCAAACACAAAUUAUAUGCAAUAUACAUAAUUAUUAUUUUUCGGAUUAGCAUUUGUUAGAUUUUAAUCACAAUCAAAUUGGAAUACGCCUUAGAUUGUUGGAGAAAAACCGCAACGAAUAAUCCGAUUGUGACUAGAUCUAACAAAUUUAGUGAUGAAAUUAAUAAAAUCAACUUACCGAUAAUCGCUAAAUUCUAAAAUAUUGUAGAAGAAUAAUGACAAAUAAUUUGAUCCGGAAGCGUGCGAAGCACUGCCCUAAGGCGUAUUCCCGUCCUUCGUGCGGGAUUAACCGAAAACACUGUCCCAAGAUACGACCGGAACUCCUCCUCCUACGAGCACGAACGUAGAAGAGGUUGACGAAAACUUUUUCAACACCCAGCAAUAAAACGAUCAAAUGAAGUGGAUGAAAUUAGUAAAAAGAAAAUUAAAAUUAACUCUUAAAAAGCUAUCCUGUGAAGCUCUCACACAUUCAUUCAUUUACAUGUGUAUGAAGUGCUCUGUCCUCACAUCUUAAAAUACUAUGAACAUAAUUAGAACGUUGGGUCAAACGUUCUUCUUGAAACCGACUCGUGAUGGACGCGCGGACGUGCGCGGAGCGGUGCGCACAGGGAGCCGGUUCGCUCGCCACGCAAACCGAAACUUCUGCAAAAAUAAAUUCUUCAAUUAAUAAUGGAUUAAAUGAAAAACAUAAUAAAGAUUUUGAAUUUUAUUUUAUUAUCAACAGGCUGUUACCUUCCUUCAUCGGCAAGAUGAAUUACAUCUCUUAUUGUCGCUUCUUCUAUCACCGUUUUCUUUUUUUUUGUUGGCUAUUUUUUCUUCACUUAUCUACCCAAUUGCAUUACACUGGUUACUUCACUACUGCUACUUGAUGUGUGUAUGCUAGAAAGUUAUUUUCUUUCUAAAUUGUCAUUGAUAAAAUCAAUAUUAUAUAAAUAUAAGUUAUUUUUAGUAUUUUAAAUUUUAAAAACCAACACACAAUAAACAACGAAUUGUAGAAAGCUAAAACUAAAUGCCUAGUUGCCAAGUGCACAAUGUUGAUUUCAUUAAUAAAUUAACAUUCUAUAAGACCUUUGGGCGUUCAGAAAUAACGAAUAUUAAGAUAAAUUUUUUUAUCUCUAGAAUAAUUUAUUAUUCGAAAUAGUUAAAAAUAAAAGUACAAUUUUAUUUUAUUUGUAAUACUGCUAUUCUCAAGAAUAAUUUAAAUUGCAUUUUGGUUAUUUUAAUAGAAUAGUAGAGGAUAGUUGAAAAAAGUGAUGGUUGAAUUUGGUAUAAAAUAUAUUAUAAAAAUAAUUUAUUUCUUUCAAAUUCUACUUCAACAUUAAAUAUAAAAAAUUAUUUAUUAUAAUAUUUAAGUAUAAUAAAUAAGUACAAAUAUUACGUAUUCAUGUUGUAUAAUUAAAAAUUUUAUAAUAAAAAUAAUUUACUAUAAUAUAUAAUAUAUCAUAUAAUUUAUUUUAGUUCAAUUUAUAAUAUCAAUAAAGCUUAGAAGUAAAUUUUGGAAUAGCACUAUCUAUCCCAAGUUAUUCCAAAAUAAUCUCUAAUUGGGAAUAGCUAGGUUUGUCUGACAUAUUUUAUUCCGGUCAAAAAAUACCCCGAAAUAAUGGGAAUAACUUUUAUUAUAUUCACUUUAUUUCCGAACCAAACAGUGGAAAUAACUUUUGUUAUCUCCACUUUAUUCUCGAACCAAACAAGGUUGCGGUUUUACAAUACAUUUCCUUUUUCAAGUAAGAAUGCAAAUUCCACAUGCAAAAUUGACAAUAUUGCUAGAUGAAUACACCAUGAUUUGAAUCUUCAGUUUCUUGGGUUAGAUGUAAUAUAACCUAUACGGUAGAUAUUAAGACCCUGUUUGGUUCGGGGUAUAAGCAGGGAUAACCAAAGUUAUCCUUGAUAUUCCGUCAAAUGAGAUGAUUUGUAGCCGGGAUAUUUUAUUCCGAUCAACCUUGUUAUUCCCGGCUAUUCCGGAAUAUCUUGGAAUUUACUACUCCACCAUAUUGGUGGAAUAUAUAGUACUAUUCCAAUGUUUAAUUUCAAACUUUAUUAAAAUUAUAAAUUGAAUUAAAACUAAAUUAUAUAAAUAUAAUAUAUUAUAUAUAACAAUAUAUUAUUUUUAUUAUAAAAUUAUUAAUUGUACUAUAUUAAUAAAUAUUAUUUAUAUUUAAAUAUUAAAAUAAAUUUUAUAAUAAAUUAUAUUUAAAUUAUUAUAAUAACUUAUUUUCAUUAAAUUUAAGUUUAAGUAGAAUUUUCAAAAAAUUUAUAAAUUUAUUAAUAAUAAAAGUUUAUAAAUUUAUUAAAAAUUUAGUUUUAGCAAAUUUAUAAAUUUAUCAUAAUAAAUUAUUUUUAUUAAUUGUUCCCGCCCUAUGUCAUGCCCCGGGGUCCCUUUGAUUUUUAAAUUCAAUGCGGAAGUGCCCAAUUAUUAUUAUUUUUUUUUUGAAAGUCUUGACCCCAAGGGAUAUCAGAUUUGCCAUAAAUACAGGAAGCCCACUGUACACACGGACAGUGUCUCCUCUGUAUUUGUAUGGCGUCGCACAAAUACAAGAUACAACCACAGUAUAUAAACAACCAUAUAUAUAUAUAUAUAUAUAUAUAUAUAUAUAUAUAGAGAUAUAUUUAUAUACUUAUAUAUAUAUAUAUAUUAUAUAUAUAUAUUCACCACAUCACAGAGAUCCAUUCACAUUCAUUUCAUCACAAGAUUGCAAUACUUUGAUCAUGAAUCCACAUCUAUUAGUUUAAAACGUUUUCCAUCCGGAAACUCAUUUUGAAAUGCUAAAAUUAUGAAAACCGAAAAACUCUUUUUAAUACCGUUUCGCACACGGAAAUCUUUUCCUUUAAAAUGCUUACCACGAGGGGUAGAAAACCAUUUUCAAUAUUUUUACAUGAAAACCACGAGUACUUUCAUUAACUUCACAAAGCCAUGAACAUUUACUUAAAUGAAACCACUGAACCAUAAAGUGUCUAAGUUAUUUAAUUUCAAUAAGAAGGGAUAGAAAGUAGACCGAAUGUAACCGGGCCGAAAACUCUAUCGACCGCUACAUACGUGCCUCACGCACCGUCCUGACUCGGACCAGCAAUGUCACUUGAAAGGGUGGUAGGGGGGUGAGAACAUGUACACAUGUCUCCUCUCUUAGUGGGUACCGCAAGCCGACGAAGGCAAUGAGUACUCACCGGCAGAAAGAGAUCAACAAAGUCAUAGGUAGAUAUCACAGAUAUAGUAGCUAUAAUGCCGGAAGGAAAGGAAACAGUAAUAGAACAUGCAACUAUCGCUAUUGUAAAAUAGAACAAAAUGCAUACAUGGAUAUCAUAACUAUAGUAGCAAUGAUGCAGAGGUAAACAACAGUGCAAAGGAAUAUAACUAGCCGCUAUUGUAAUACAGAAUAAAGUGCGAGUAUGCAUCAACCGGACGAUUAGUCCCAAAUAUACCUAAUCAGAAACCUGGCAUGACGGUCCACAGACCUCAAGCCUGUGCCACUGCCCCUCUACCUGUAUAUGACCCAGACUAGGCCUCUGGACUCACAGGCUACAUAUAACCCAGACUAGGCCUCUGUGCUCACAGGUUGGCACGUCCAACCACUUUUAUGAAAAAGAACACCCUCUUGCGGUGGAUUAGACCGCUGGUGAUUGGGAAAUGCGAAUGAGUCUCGGGCGAUCUGUAGUACACUAAACUUUAGCAAAUUGCGAAGUUUGAGUGUUAGAAUAGUAAUUAGAGCUAUUUUAUAUCUUUUGAGAGGUUGUCAAGAGGUUUUCGGCAAGUUACUUGAGUGAUCAAAUGGCCGGAAGAGCAAAAGUGCAUUGAAGCGGCGAAAUUCUGCAUUUUGCACUGAGUACCAGUACCAACUUGCCCUAGUAUCGGUACCUAGCACAACAGCUGCAUGGAUUAAAGGGUUAUUUGGUAAUUUCACUCUAACCCUUAUCCUUUGACCCUCCUAGCUCGACCCCUGAGCCUGUUCUUAUUAGGAUUGAGCUGAAGAACAGGGUAAGACUUGCUCUCUCUCUCUCUCUCCAGGGUUUUGGGGUUUUUGUGAGUGGAAUUGAGGAUUUAAGCUUGUUUUUGUUAAGUCUUGUGUGUUGGCAAGUUUCAUGAAGUGAGUCGGAGUCUUGAUGGAUCGGUGCGGAUCAUCAAAGAUUGAAGAAUUCAAGACUUCGAGGAAAGUGGAAAUAACUCACGACGUGAAUCACGAUGCUCAGGUAAAGUUUUAAUUCAUGUUAUGGUGAUUCAUACUUAAUUGUAGGCACUAGAAUCAUAUACUCAAAGUUUAUUGGAUUAGAAAGUGCAUCGGAACUUGCGAAACUCAAAACUGUGGAAAAAUGAGGAAAAUGCAAAGUGUACCGGUACAGUAUUGAAAGUGUACCGGUACAAAUUGUGUUCCAGUAAAACCAGCGACUUGUCACCGGUUAUAGCGUUUCACAGGUUUUCUCUUCCGUCAUCGUGUAACCGGUAACAGCUUAAAAGUGUACCGGUACACAAUGUAAAAAUCUAAAAAUAUUUCAAAUCCGACUCUAAUUGAUUUUAAAGUCUAUAAAUAAGCUAUUGGGGUUCUCUAACAGAUAAAGGAUCAUAAGAAUACAUAUUUGAGAAACCCUAGAGGCUAGGAUUUCGUUCAUAACCUAUUUUCUUCAUAAUAACCUCUUUUAGGUCAAAUCGAGAGAUUGUAAUUUGAUAUCAAUUUGUCGAUUUGAUCUACUCUUCGCUUGGAGUUCUCUUCCCUGGUUUUCAUCGAUACUCUAAGCGAAGGAUGACCAUACACAUGAUGUUCUUCAUUGAUGGUGUCGUGGAUUCGGCGUGAUUGAAGGUGGUUCGUGGAUUCGGAUCGUGAGCUCGUGGAUUCAAGUGGCGUUCGUGGAUUCAGACGUGUACGAGGCGUUCAUGGAUUCAAACAUGAGGGCGUGGACAACCCGGAGGAUUGUGUGAGAUUCGUAAGAGGUUAAGAGAGGUCGAGUCCGUAGAGUCGAUAAUCACCUUGUAAUCUUUUCUCUUAGUGAAUUAUUUUUUCGCGUGUUGGUCCCGUGGGUUUUUCUCCAAGUUGGAGUUUUCCCACGUAAAUAUUGGUGUAAUUUUUAUUUUCCGCAUUUACUUUUAUUGCAUUGAGAUUUGUGAUUUUUGACUGUUACACCUAUUCACCCCCCUCUAGGUGUUGGAUACAAUUUAGAUAGAUCCUUAGGCACUCCAAAACUUUCAAUUGGUAUCAGAGCGGGAUCUAGAUAAAUUGCUAUCUAAUGGCCGAAGGCGGUAACAUUAAUCGACCAUCACUCUUCGAUGGCAUGAAUUAUGCCUAUUGAAAAAUUCGCAUGAGAGCUUUUCUAAUUCCAAUCGAUGAGCGAGUUUGGCAAUUUAUUGAAUUCGGAUGGAAACAUCCAACCAAAGUCGUCGAUAAUGCUACCGUUCCUAAACCGCGAAACAAGUGGAUGAAAGAUGAAAACGAGUCAUCUUCAUUUAAUGGCAAGGGCACAAACGCUUUAUUUAAUGCUUUGUCACAAACAGAGUUUACUCGCGUUUCGGCGUGUAAUACCGCCAAGAAAAUUUGGGAUACUCUACAAGUUACGCAUGAAGGAACUAGCUUGGUAAAGGUUCAAAAAUUACAAAUGUUGACAAGCAAAUUUGACUCGAUUUUAAUGGAAGAAAAUGAGACCUUUACUGAGUACUAUACUCGACUUCAAGACGUUGUUAAUACAUGCGCUAACUUGGGAGAGAAAAUUCCGGAUUCUAAUAUUGUUUGAAAAAUUCUUCGGACUCUUCCGGAACGCUUUUGGGCAAAAGUUGCCGCAAUCGAAACCGUAAAGCAUCCGGACGAGAUGAAAGUCCAAGAGUUAGUAAGUGCUUUGCAAAUUUAUGAGAUGACUUUUUAUACUAACCAAUCUUCUUCCAAGUCUUCUUCUAAAAGUACGGGGGUUGCACUCAAAUCGACAAAGAAAGAAGACGGCGACUCGGAUUUCGACGGAGAUAUUUCGCUCACCAAUUUCGAACAUCAAUUAGCGCUCCUAACGAAGAAGUUCCGACGAAAUUUUCGGAAGAAUAAAUUGGACAAGGCUUCAUCGUCUAAGCAACAAUCUUUUUCUAAAUCAUCUUCAUCUUCUAAAUCUAAGGAUAAAAACUUUGCAAAGUCUUCGAAAGAAAAAAAUGAAUUUGAAGGGAAAAUCCAAUGUUACAAGUGUAGAAGCUACGGUCAUAUUGCAACGGAUUGUCCCUCUAAGAAAUCAUAUACAAAGAAGGCUUUGCAAGCUAAAACUUGGGAUGAUUCAUCUUCAAGUGAAUUAAGUUCAAGUGACGAAGAAAAGAAUGAUCAUAUUGCUUUAAUUGCUAAUAAUUCUUUGUCUUUAUCGAAUGUUAUGUGUUUAUCCUCUAUUGUUACGAACUCUAGUGUUUCGCCUUCCUUACAUGGGUCUUCGAACGACAAUGGAGAAAGCGAGGAGGAAUCAAACAACGAGGAUAUAGCGGAAGCGUAUCAUCAACUCCUCGUUGAAUCCAAAAAGAUGGCGAAGCACAAUAAAAAAUUGAGGAAGCGUCUACUUGAACUUGAAGAAGAAAACAACAAGUUGAAGACAAUGAAGAAAGCUAUCGAGGAGGAAAGGGAAUCAAAUUUGAAAGAUCGUUCAAUCCUCCAAGAGAAGCUUGAUGAAGCGGAAUCAACGAUCAAAUCCUAUAAAGAUAAAGUUGGAUUUUUGGAGCAACAAUUUGAGGAAUCGUACACAUCUAACAAGUCCUUGACCGAUCAAGUUCGUCAACUCCAAUCCGAUAUUCAAAAAUUUUCUUCGGGAUCGAAGAAAUUGGAUCAUAUGCUCGGAUUGGGUCAAACGAACAAGGUAGGACUCGGAUACAAAAGGACUUACGUUGAGAAGGAUUCAAAAUCAACUCCUAAAAUCUCAACAAAUUCAGAUGAAAAGGUGUGUCAUCGAUGUGGCAUCAAAGGACACAUCAAAAAAAGUUGCCCGAACAAGACAAAGAAGAAUCAAUCGGCAACUUCUAAUCGUCAAGUGGCACCCUCUACAACUCGACUUCCCCCACGGAAUCAAAAGAAAAAUCAAGUUCGUCGAGUACCACAAGCAAAUCGGAUUCCUAAUGCGCAAUGUGAAGUCCGAACGAAGCCUCAAGAGAACCGGAAUUCUAAAUCUCACCGGCAACUUCAGUUGAAGUCACCUACAAUGAAGCAAUCUACGAUGGAUCAAAAAUCAAAGCAAACUGUACCAAAUGUCGACAACCCAAGACAACCUACUAUCCAACAAGUGUGGAUCCGGAAAGGUGAUAUCUUUCCUUGUUCUUUGUCUUAAGUUUGUUUUGAUUGAUUAUGUAAUGCUUUGUUUUGUGCUUAUUGCAUAUUUGUAUUCAUUGCAUUACAUGUUUGGACGAUUUUUGGUGCUUGAAUUUAUUUGUUUAAAAAUCGUUUUGAGGAAAGGUGUUUGGGAGAUUAAAAACUUUCUUUGAAAAAGGAGAUGAUUGAAAAUCAUUAUUUUGGGGAGAUUAAACUUUUCAAAGUGCUUUAAACGGUAUUUAACUUCACAUUCAUAUUAUGUUAAAUUCAUAUUAAUUAUCGGUUUUACUCCACUUUUUAUUAUUUUGACGAUAAUUUAUUAUAUGAAUUCUUAAUACAUAUAGUCAACAAAAUUUUGAAAUAAAAUUUGAUCUCUUGGUGAUUAAUUCAUCUUGAUUGUGUGUGUUGGAUAUGAUGGAUGGAUAUUCGCUAAUAGACCAAAAUUUGUCAAAAUUAUUUUCAAUUGUGAGAUUGUCUAAUUUAGGGGGAGUUUGAAGUAUUUAAAAAAAAAAAAAGAAAAAGAAAAAAAAACUCCUAUGUUUAAAAGAUGUGAAAAGAGUUACAUCUAAAAUGAGUGUGAAAACUACCACCACGUGUAGGAAAGAGCUACCACCCUGAUCGUCCGGUAAGUGUAUGAAGCUACCACAUGACAAAUUUUUUUGAAUAAUCGAAAAUGUUUGAAAAAUUGAAUAUGUUAGGUUUUUCGGUGUUAUAAGGUGGUAGGAUGAAAAUAUGCUCAAUAUAACGUAUCGAAAUCCGGAAGAAAUUGUCGAACUUUAGCCAAAUUGGUUAAAGUUGUCGAAGGAAAAGUUGGACAAGUUCCAAUUGGCAUUCCAACAAUUUUGGAAGGGCUAAAAAUGAGUUUAAGAGCUGUUAGAAAGAUUUUAGCAUCGAACGUCGCAAAACUGCAUUCUGGAGCAAAGUGCACCGGUACAACCAGCGAGUUGUCACCGGUACAGCCCUGCAGCCCGAGAAGAGUAAGCUCUCGGGUUUGAGAAAAAUUGGGCCAUGUGAAACAAGACAGUGGCCAAUGUGCUAAUGCGUCUCUCGUUGGGCUCUCGAAUGAGCUGAGCCGACGACUCGAUAUCUCGAGUGAGCCGAAUCGACGACCUGUCAUCUCGAAUGAGCCGAGCCGUUAAAAACAGUCANCGUGAGUGUGUUACCGGUAACACCUCUGGUGUGUACCGGUACACUUUGGUAAAACCCGAAUAGCAGCUCUUGGGUUGUCUCUGCGUGAUCGUGUUACCGGUUACACCCCAAGUGUACCGGUACACUUUGGGCUGACAGCACAGAAAUAAUCUGCUACAAUUUUGGAGGGUUGGGGGGUUUUGUGGCUAUUGUUACACACUAUAAAAUAACCCAACCCUCUCCCCCUCACAACAAAAUAGAAAUCCUCCUCUUCUCUUUCAUUUUCUCUCCCUUUCUCUCUAGAGACUCUCCACCAAGGCUAGAGGUGGUGAGUUGGAGGAGUUUUAGAGGUGAUUUUGGAGGAUUAGAGGACCUAGAAGCUCUCAUACAAGGUGGAUUUGGAGGAGCUUGGGCUAAGGUAAGCUCUCAUGCAAGGAUACAUCUAGGGUUUGGAUUUCUACCCUAAGAUCUAGAGUUUUGAUCUUCUUGCAAGCUUUAGAACAUUGUAGAGACUUAGAAACACAUGAAAUCCAUGGUUUCUUUAAGGUGCUCUAAUAGUGGAUUUUUAGGGUUUGUUCUAAACACCCUAAGAAUGGUUCAAAUGGUUUAUAAAUGGUAUUAGAGAGUUUCCUAGGUGAUUCUAAACUAAUCUUUGCUUAGGGAUGAGAUCAAUCUAGGGAAAUGGCAAGACGACAUUGUCAGGGCACCAAAAUUUGGAGCUUUUGUCGUAGAUGGGUUUAAAUGUAAAUUGACCCUAUGUAAACCUAAUUGAAGGUAUUUCGGACGCGUUGGUGAAGUCGGUUCGACGAUUCGUCGAGCCUACGCGAAGUUAUUGAAGAAACAGAUCAUUAAAGCUUCGUUUUCUCCUGGAGGGCCGAGGCGACGUCCUAAAAUCAUGAAAACGGAAUCGUGAGCUUGUGGCAACUAACCGUAAACCUUUAAUUUUCGGAUCGUGAAUUGGAGGCCGUUCGGGUGAUCGCGUGAGAGUUCGGGCCGAACCGGGUCACGGGUGCCUCGGGAGGCCGAUUACAAGUGACUACCAGCAAUCGGAGAGUAAGUUAAGGUGGGUUGUAUUUACCGAAGUGACUAGGUCGCCUGUAUGUCUAAGAUGAGUGUUUAUCAUUGAUGCAUAUUAUGGUAGCUAGUGGUAGAAUGUAUAAAUACAUGAAAUGAAUACUAUAUGGGCCACCAAAUAGUGCAGGAUAACAUAGUGUGAAUAAUGCUAGUGGAAAGCAUAAAGUAAAUGACAUAUGUGUGUUGACGUAUAGAGAACUAUGUUAAAUGACAUGUGCAUGUGGACAUAUAUAUAUAUAUAUAUCGAGUGGCAUUGAACCUAGUGUCAAGGACAUAGGUUGAGUAAGAGUAAUAUUGAACCUAGUGUUAAUAAACAUAGGUUAAACAAGUGUGGCACCGAACCUAGUGUUAAUAAACAUAGGUCGAACAAGAGUGGCAUCAAACCUAAUAUUAGAGAGCAUAGGUUGAGAUUAAACCUAGAAUUAAGUCAACCUAGGUUGUGAGAUAAAGAUAGUGAACCUAGAGUUAAAGUAACUUAGGUUAUGUGAUAAAAGUGUUAAACCUAGAGUCAAGUGGACCUAGGAUGGAAAGGAUGAUGGACCUAGAUAGGUGGAUACUAUGGGGUUAAGACCAACCCCUGAGUUAUAUGAAAUGGAUUCCGGAAUCCCAGAGCUUAUGGAUCACACCCAGAGUGGUGUUGGGCGUGUGAGACGAUUUCGCCGCCCGGGGCUAAACCAUUGACGUGGCGUGUGCAACGAUUUCGCCGUCGGAUGGUUAAGCUGGUUUGUGGAUUAGGCCGCCAGGUUUGACUUGAGCCAUUGUUGGGUGAGGUGCGAUUAGUUCACCGCCAGAUGGCUAAGUCAAGGGACUUGAACCAGUGUUUGGCGUGUGCGACGAUUUCGCCGCUAGCUGGCUAGGUCAGAGAGGGCGGUAGGCUAAUGAGCAGCUAGAGCGCGGAUUAUCUGCAGUUGAUUGACUUAAGACUGAGUCGGGUAGCAUAGAUGGCUAAGGUAAAGGUAACCUUAUGAAAGAAUCGCCAAUGACCAUAGUGUGGCAAGGAAAUAAAGUAGAGAACGACUAAUGAAUAACAAUAGCUAGUAAAAGUAAAGAAUGGCUACAAGUAAAGAAUGGCUAAGAAUAUAAGGUAGAAUCAAUUUAUCUACUUGCAUGAGUUACAGGAUUUGCAUAUUGCAUAUUGUGAGGCAUAGCAUGUUUUUCCUUAUUUGUAUAUAUCUGUUGGACUAACAUGUUACAGUGCCUCCUUGGACUUAUUGGUCGAGCUUUUUCCUUGGGUGGCCGUACCCACUGGGAAUCAUGGAGUUGGUUUUCACCCCACGUUAUUUUGGGGUGUUAUAGGUUUGCACGUGAGCGGCGCGGUGGCGCGAGGCAAGGGCGUAGCUUCGUAGAUAGCGGCCCUACCUCCGAAACUGAGAUAGCGGUACCCCGAGGUGGUCUAGCUUAGGGGUUUGAAGACAAAGAAACAAACUUGUAAUAAAUUGGUAAAAGAGUUUGAUUGUAUUGGAAGUCGAAUGUAAAAGUAAUUGUGAUGUAAAAUUCACCUAACAUGAAUGCUGUAAUAACUUAGUUGUUUUAUGUUUCGAUACUUCCUUAUGCAAUUUUUGGUUGAAUUCGGUUCCUGGUUGGAACAUCGUGAAUUGUAUCGAUUGCGACGCCUUGGACGUACAGGGGAGACUCUGUCCGCGGUACAGGAAAACCCUGUCCGUUCGGCGGUCUGUUGGCGUGCCCGAACCCAACCAAAUAAGCGGGGCACGGGGCGUGACAGUCAAAGAGCCACCCCCGGUGUCAUAUUAGUUAAAUCUCUAUUUUGAACGACUUGCGACAAAUGGAAGUCAAUUUUGCCGAAUUUCUAAAAAUUAUUUUUCAUUAACCGUUACAUCUGGAUGAUUUUGAAACACUAGAUUAUUUUUUAUUUCCAAAUUUUGAUGUUUCGAUGUAGUUUGAAAUCCUAUAAUAUUUUAUCUUCAUCAGAAUGAUUUUUGGAGUACAAUCUUUAAUUUUUAUGAAAUUAAUUAGAUUUUGAAGGAUUUUUGAAGGAAAAAUUCACAAUUUUCGAAAUCUGGCAAAGUGUAUCGGUACAAAAUACCGUAUACCAGUACAAAUUACUGUAGACCGUGUUAUUAUAACCGGUUACAGCAUUCGGUUUUUCCCCGAAACACAAUCAAAACUUCUCCUCUCUCUCUCUAAAAAGCCCCAGCAACCUUCUCCUCCAGAUCCAAGUGUUUUUCCCAAAGAUUUGUAAGUAUUUUGCUAAAAUUUGAAGAUCUAAUCCCGGUUUUUGCUAUUUUUUCGAAAAAUUUCGAGUUAAAGCAUGAUCUCUGUUUUAAUUCAUUUUUUAUGCAAUUUUUUUGCUGUGAAUCAGUGUUUAGACAUAUAUUCUUACUUCUAGAACACUUAGAUUAGGUUAUAAUGCUAUAUUUUUUGCUGAUCUAUUAUCCGUACCUCUAUAUACCUGGAAUUUCGUGAUUUUUUAUGAAAAUCAAUUUUUGAUGAAAAUUUUUGCAUGAUUUAGUUAGAAAUAGAAUUGUUAUUCAUUCUAAUAUUAUUAGAAAUUUUUAUGCUAUUUUUACAGAAUUUUUUGAAUUUUCUUCAUGCAAGGCUCAUUUUUUUAUGUAGGAAAAAUGGCGUUCUCGUUCGUGGUGCUGCUGUUGGUGCUAAUGGCCACUGGUCGUGGUCGAGGACGUGGUCGAGGCCAUCGAGGGGCCUCCAAGAGGACUCGUACUGCAGGCGAGUCGUCCGGGGCUGAUCCAGAUUACCAAGCGAGCUCUCCGGAGGAUACUGAAGAACCGAUUGCUCCAACUGACAAAGGGAAAGGCAUAGCUGGAGAAUCAUCACGCGGAGGUGGCUCUCGUGCAUGAGAGAGUCACUCAAAGCAAGCCGCGGAUGUUCCACCGGAGCGGCGGAGGACGUUCUCGAGCAGGUCAUGCAUUGCAGAGAGAUAUGUCAACUUCAACGAACUCAUCCAGGAGGUUCCAGAGUUUGGACGGUUAUUCCACUGUCGACUGGUGCUACUGACGUUGGAGGAUUUGGAGUUGGAGCAGACGAUGAUGAUGAUGAUGAUGAGGACACCGAGUGACGUCAUCUUCGAGCUUUGUUUUUCUACUUUGCUUAUUAGGAUGAUGUUUUAGUUUUUGCUUUGCUUAUCUUUGCAUUUUCUUUAGGCCUGUAUCUAUGACAUGACUACUCUUAUGUUUUCUAGUUGAUUUUCUCUCUAUAUACUUUCUUUUGACAAUUUUUGACAAAAAGGGGGAGAUCAUAGAUGAACAGGUAUUGAUCGAAGCAGGGGAAAAAGAACUCAUCAACAAAGGGGGAGAAGUGAUCGAGGACAAUGAUAAUGAGAUAAUGACAUUGAAAGGUAUAAAAGUCCAAUGGUUUCAAAUUAAGAUAUCAUCUUUGGAUAAAUUGUUUUGCAGGAAAUCAAGACUUCAAGACUCUUAGUUGCAUCUAAGUCAUAGAGUCUGUUUUAGGAGUUUUGAUAUAUUUUUGAGUUUCAUAUUAAUAUUGUAUUUGGACUACAUGCGAGGUGUUCAAUGUUUUGGUGAUAACAAUUGAACUUCGAUUCUUAUUAUGUAAUUUUGAGUUUGUGAGUUUUGUCACGAAAUUGCCAAAGGGAGAGAUUGUUAAGUCUUGUGUGUUGGCAAGUUUCGUGAAGUGAGUCGGAGUCUUGAAGGAUCGGUGCGGAUCAUCGAAGAUUGAAGAAUUCAAGACUUCGAGGAAAGUGGAAAUAACUCAUGACGUGAAUCACGAUGCUCAGGUAAAGUUUUAAUUCAUGUUAUAGUGAUUCAUACUUAGUUAUAGGCAUUAGAAUUAUAAACUCAAAGUUUACUAGAUUAGAAAGUGCAUCGGAACUUUGCGAAACUCAAAACUGUGGAAAAAUCAGGAAAAUGCAAAGUGUACCGGUACAACAUUGAAAGUGUACCGGUACAAAUUGUGUUCCGGUACAACCAGCGACUUGUCAUCGGUUAUAGCGUUUCGCAGGUUUUCUCUUCCAUCAUCGUGUAACCGGUAACAGCUUAAAAGUGUACCGGUACACAAUGUAAAAAUCUGAAAAGAUUUUCAAUCCGACUCUAAUUGAUUCUAAAGUCUAUAAAUAAGCUAUUGGGGUUCUCUAACAGAUAAAGGAUCAUAAGAAUACAUGUUUGAGAAACCCUAGAGGCUAGGAUUUCGUUCAUAACCUAUUUCCUUCAUAAUAGCCUCUUUUAGGUCAAAUCGAGAUAUUGUAAUUUGAUAUCAAUAUGUCGAUUUGAUCUACUUUUUGCUUGGAGUUCUCUUCCCUGGUUUUCAUCGAUACUCUAAGCGAAGGAUCACCGUACACAUGAUGUUCUUCAUCGAUGGCGUCGUGGAUUCGGCGUGAUUGAAGGCGGUUCGUGGAUUCGGAUCGUGAGCUCGUAGAUUCGAGUGGCGUUCGUGGAUUCAGACGUGUACUAGGUGUUCGUGGAUUCGAACGUGAGGGCAUGGACAACCCGGAGGAUUGCACAAGGUUCGUAAGAGGUUAAGAAAGGUCGAGUCCGUGGAGUCGGUAAUCACCUUGUAAUCUUUUCUCUUAGUGAAUUAUUUUUUUUGCGUGUUGGUCCCGUGGAUUUUUUUCCAAGUUGGAGUUUUUUCACGUAAAUCUUGGUGUGAUUUUUAUUUUCCGCAUUUUCUUUUAUUGCAUCGAGAUUUGUGAUUUUUGGUCGUUACACCUAUUCACCCCCCUCUAAGUGUUGGAUAUAAUCUAGAUAGAUCCUUGGGCACCCCAAAACUUUCAGUUUUCCUCUCCUCUCUUGGUGCUUGCUAGUUUGGAAGGUGUGGAGCAGCUGUGGAAGAGUGGAAAAGGAGUCUUGGGAGAGGUAUUUCGUAACCCUAACUCAGUAGGAAACUGAGUUGAAGUUUGGUAAGGUAAGCUAUUCAACUUCUUUUUAGUUGAUGCUAUAGUAGUGUAGUUGAUGUUGGUUCUUUGUUCCUUAUUACCAGCUGGUUUGGGAAGGUUUAAAACAGCUAUAGAGGAGUUGUUUUGUUGAGAUUCUUCAACCUAAAACCAGGGAAAAGCUAAGUUGAAGCUUUAGAAGGUGAUUAGCUAACUUCUCUCUUGAGUUGAUGCUAUAAUAGUUGUAGUAGUAAAAGUAGUGGUGCUGUUUUUGGUGUUUGCUCACAGCAGGGUUGUGAACCACUUUGGAUGAGUUUGAGUUGUCCAUGUAGAUCAGUUUUGGUGUACUUCAACUUGAGUUGGAGCUGUGUAAGGUGAACAAUCUAACUCCUUUAUAGUUUUGAUGUGUUGAUAGUAGUAUAAAGGGGUUUAUGGUCUAUGUUCGCAGCAGGUUCGCAGCAGGUUCGCAGCAAGUUUGAUGAUCACCUUGAGCUAAGUUUGGGGUGAUUCUUGAAGGCUGGAUUUGGUGUGUUCCAACCUGAAGUGGAGUGGAGUUUAAGUUUGGAUUCUAAUCGAAGUGAGAUUCUAGCCUUAAUUAUGUGAUUAUGUGAGGUUUUAUGUGAAAGCUUGGUGAAGCUCCUAGCUGAUUUUAGAAUACUUACCAGGGUGCUUGGAGGCUUCGAAUUACCUUCGUUGGAGGAAUCGACGAGAGUCGACAGCGAUUUGGUGGGUUUGACUUUACCAUAAUAGGUGAAUUCCCUCUAUAUCUUCUUGGACAUUAGGAAAUUGGAAUUGUUGCAUAUUCAUGUGAAUUUAUGUAUAAUUGAAUGAAAUGGGGCAUGCAUCAAUAUGCAUCUUAUAUUGAGCAUAAUGGAACCUCUAUGGAGUAGAUGAAAGAUUAUAAAAUUGCUUAGCCUACAUAGAUUGUUUGCUCGGUUAAUAUGUAUCCAUGACAUUAGUAAACUUUUGUAGACAAGUUAAGUAUGACAUCAUUCAAUAGGGUAUAGCCGUAAAGCUAUGAAUAUGACAUUUGGACAACUAAGUGAAUGAUGUAUUAUGAUGUUGUAUCUUUGAGUUAACUCAUGCGGUUUCAUGUGUUAGACAUGAUGACAGGACUUCUAGCAUAUUAUAUAUAUAAUGGAGUUACAUAAGUAUACAUUCAUAUUGUGGAAUGGCUUGUGUAGAGAUCAUGCGUAAAGUAUCUUAUAUGAUGUUUUGCCUACUUUUGUUAAUAAGUGAUUAUCGUUUUCAUAUAGCAGAAAUGGCAUGAAUUUGACGUUCUUACAUUUAACCUAGUUGGGUAACUAUAUACUAUUGAAUAGAAUCUAGUUAAAUAACUAGAAUUGGAUAUGAGGAUAUACAUGUGUAGUCAAGUAGAAGUAAUUACAUAUUACUUGUUUACUCUCAGUAGUGGAGGUUUAUGUAGAACUAUAGAAUAUGUGUCAUGAGUUAUUUGAACACCAGAAUGAGUCAUUGGAUAUGACCUUGGUAAACCACUUUCCUUAAGUAUAAGGAGUAGUGAGAGGACUAUAUGUGAGUAUGCGGGUAUAGCCCGUUAGAAUCAUCUAUAUGAUGUAAACCAUAUACUUGUUUAAGUCAUACUAACUAUUGAUAGAAUUGUGUCACCAAGUAGUUAAUAGUGGAAUUUGAUUUAUUGUUAAUUGUUGACCUUGUGUCAAAAAGGAAUUCCAUGUUAGAGACAUGAUGAACUUGUGAAUGCUAUACUAUGAGUUAAGCUUGCUUGCCAAUAUGCUCAUUCGCACAUGCUUGUGAGGGUCGCGCCCCACAAGCCGGCACUCCGGAGUUGGCCUAUGUGACAGAUUGCUCGCUUAUGUACGAGACUGAGCACCGAAUUGGAUUGCCGUGGGUAGUGUUGACUUCCACGGGCCAUUAGGCACGACACUAGCUUGGACUUUACCAUGAGUAAGUCUCCUGUUAAUUGGGUUACUACAGUGAACUUAGACCUAGAUAGACCUAGUAGUAAAAGUACUUUAUGUCAGUAGUUGAGAUAUACCUAGUAAUGAACAUACUAGAUGGUUGGCAUUUCUGUUAGUCAUUAGUUGUAAUGACAUUACCUGUAGGAUUACACUCCGAUUAGUAUAGGAAGGUAGCUGCAUGUUGUUAUUAUCUUGUUGAACUACGAUCAUAGAAUCCUACUUUAAUUGGCAUAUAGUUAAAGAUGAGCAAAUUGGUAGCUACAUGACAUACAGAAUUGGUAUACAUGAUAAGUACUAUAUAAUACAUGUUAGAAAGCAUAUCUUGUUGAGGCAUGUUAUAAUUGAAUGAUUUCAUUUACUUAUUGCAUUUACUUCUCGCACCUAUUAUAGUUUUAUUCAUGCCUCAGUUGACUUAGUGGUGUACUUCGCCACUCUCGGCGGCUUACCCACUAGGAACUAUUAUUUAAUAGUUCUCACGCCCUUUUGUUGGUUGUUUUUGUGCAGAGCCUUCCACAACGGGAAAGGUUAGGGUUCCUAGCAAGGGGUUAGUGGCUAGCUAGAGCCUCCUCGAUGUUAAAUAGAUGGAACCGUACCAGCUUUUCUAGUUUAGUUUAGUAUCGUAUAUUGGAACUAUGUAGAAUGUAUUUUGUACUUUGGUUUUAAGCUGUAAUAGGGUUUUGUGGUUGUAUAAGCUUAUGAACUUUUAGUUUUGCUCUGAUUACCUAAUUAGAAUACUAUGCUUUUGCUAUGUUGAUUGUAGACGCCUGGUGUACACUUAAGGUUGUGGUGUACACGGCGGGACUGUGCACGUGACUGGUGAGCUUUCGCUGAAGUCCAGGGCAUGACACAAUCAAUACUGAUAUGCUCAAUAGCCAACCAUCGGCAACUAGCCGACAAUCUUACCCCUCAGGGUAUGUUGACCGUAUAGGAGUAUCGACCACUCAGGCCAACUAGGAUGGAACAAUUCAACAUCCUUCCGAAGAUAUGAAAGUAUCGACCACUCAAUGUCAACUAACAGAUAUGCACAAGAACCGACAAAUAGGUCACAAUACGAGAUACAAGAAACCGACCGACUAGGUCACGAGAAUGUCAAAUCAUGGAUCAAUGUAAUCUAUAAUCAUCCUUCGGCAACUAGCAGACAAUCCUACCCCUCAGGGUAUACCAACCUCAUCGAUCAUCAAACAACAGGAGUCACAGAACCAAUCGAAUAGGUCACUACAUAUAGUCCACUCUACUUCUAAAUCAUGAUGAUAAAUACGAAAAGUAACCAAGUAGAGCAGUAAGUACGAAGUCAAAGGGUGCUAGUCUCAUAACAUGAUAUGCAAGGUAAUAAAAAGAGGGUGGAGAGAACGUCACCGAGCAUGUACCACUGUACCGACUUCAGAUCGAAGUACCCACCCGUACGUAUAUGGCACUGGUCUCUUGACUGCGGAAAAAGUAUCAACCGGACCUACGAAGGGUCCACCGGGUUAGUAUUCAACCCACACAAAUGAAACACUAACUCACAGUCCAAUCUAUAACCCAUAGGAAUCGGUUUCCCAAAACCGAUUACCGUAACUCGCCGGAAGUCCCGAAAAUUGCACCGGGACAUCGUCGGGACCCCGAAAUGUCCCGGGACUCACCGACUCGUGCCACAAGUCACCCGCUGCCACCCAACACAAUAAUUUGUGUGACCUGGCAGAAAACACAAGAUCACACCUCCAAACAAUUAUCGUCGGAUAAUCGUUCGAAUCCGGGUUCUCGGAAGUGUCUAUUUCGACACCGUAACCCACCAUUGCCCACCCGUCAUCUCCAAACUCAUGAGAUGACUAUUGUGACCAGCCAACAAGGCUCGGCGACAAAACAUAACUCGCCUUAGCACUGUCGGAAGAAAUUCGAACUGAAACCGCGUUCCGUUGGCGAAUUUCGCCAAAAAACGCAUCGAAAAUCGAUACCCGAUUUUCGUAAAAGCCUCGAACCUUGGACAACCAGUCCAGAGGUCACCCGCUGCCCACACACACUUCCCACAGGAGCCACGAAGCAUAAAUUGUAUAAAAGUCCCAGUGAUCACCUAAAAUCACAUUAUUUUAUGUGAUUUUCAGGGUUUUUACGGCCUGAUAGCGCAAAUCGAGGAUUUUCAAGCCUUGCCGAGACACACGCUGAUAGCUCUCGAUGUGCUGGAGGUCGUGCUCAUGAUUCGGAGCAUGGCCGUCCACUGUGGGAGGCGUGGGAGCUACUAGAAGUUCAGCAAACACUGCGCGCUGAGACUAAAACACGUCUAAUUCUGCAAUCUGGGGUUCGUUGACCCUAAACGAGGCGAGCACUGUGAUCAGCACUAACCAACGAUCACCAUACGCACCUCCGAGGACGUCGGAACAGUCUCGGGUCGUCAGAACAAAGAUCCGAAAAGGAAACAGUGUGCAGACAGCUUACUAAAAGCAUACCGGGCAAGGUGGGGCUAGGGCACGGUCGGCGGCGGCCCGGCGGUGGGAGGACUGGUGGCAGGCGGGCGCUGGCAACGUAGGGAGGCCAGGGCACGUGUCGGCUGGCGACGGAAGACGGUGGCGGUGGCCGACAAUGAUGCCCUAGCCGCGCGGUUUGAUGGAGAGCUUGGCUUCAGCUCGGCCGGUAGGGGCCUCCGCCGGCGGGAUCGCCGGCAGCAACCGGGUGCGGCCGACCGGGAAGGACCGGCGCUUACGCCGGCCGGCGGCGGGAGGCGGCGGUAGUGGCGUUAGGAGAAGCUGAGCCCGCACGGCCCUAUCUCGAGCUCAUAUUGCUUCUCCAGCCACGGCAAUGGCCGGAGCGGGCAAGGGAGGGGCGCGGCCUUCACCUGGAGCCCAGAGGAGGAAGCGGAGACGGCGGUCGGCAAUUGAGAAGGCGGCGCGGCCAGGCUCGGCCGUACCAGCCCGAGCUAGCAGCGUGCCGCAGUAUCCGCGACGGUGGAGCUCGGGGGCGGCUGUGGCCGCUCGGGGGAAGUCGACAAAGGUCAAGGCGCAGAAGGAGAGCCCAAGGUGUGGGAUCACCUGCCUAGCUCUCAAGUAGAGAGGGGGAUGGGUUGGUGGCAAAUGUGAGUGGGAGAGAGGGAAAAGGUUGGUCGAGGAGCUGGUUGGUCGACCGGAGCUCAGUCGAAGGUGGCCGGGGAGCGCGCGGCACACGAGGUUAGUGAGGAGCGGCGGCUGGGAGUCUGAUGGAGCUAGGGCAAGGGUUUUCUUGGAAGAAAACCCUAGUUAGCUCAAUAUAUAAAUGGCGACAACUUGCAGUUUAACCCACCAAAGAUUGAUAUUUUCAACUGAGUCCCUCACGGCACGAGUAAAUCGCGCGGAUAUACCUCCAUGCCAAAUUUCACGUAAAACGGUAUAUAAAAUAUAGGGUGUUUUGCAAAAUUACCAUUUUGCCACUUAUGACCCCUCCUCGAUCAAAGUGCGAUAUCAGGAGAUCCGUCCGUCAUAUUUGCGAACGGAUCGCACCAAUGCGAUCAGAACGACUGAGACAUCAAACUCACUAUUUUGUUUCACCAAGUUCAGUCGCGGAUUUGUGACGAAACCCAUUCUCUCUCCAAUAAGAAAAACCACACACAAAUACAUAGAAUAUAUGUGUAUAUAGUUUUCUCGAAAUCUCUGCGUCAAACCUGAAAUCCGUCAGCGCCACUAGAUCCAAGACAGUCAAACCAUUGAAAAUGAGCUAUUGGAUCACUAUGAACGGAGUCUGAUAUGCACCAGAAGCCAUCUCCACUGAUCGGCCUCUCCGGAAAAUUGGAGUUAUUCACUUUAAGUGAUUAGUAAUGAUCGCGUAACUUCUCCAUUCUAACUCGUUUUCUCCUGAAACUUGACGAAUGCUUAUGUAAUUAAAUUACACACGAAAACAUCUUCAACAACGAGUUUAGCUACAUUGUCAAAUUUUCAGUACUCAUAUUAUCCUCCCCUUAAAGGAAGUUUCGUCUCCGAAACUUCACUAUGCACCGGCCGUAAUCAAAUUUGGAUACCAAACUGCUAUUUUGGUUCCUCCUUCAAGUUUUAAUGAUACUCCCAAUUCAAAAUCUUUUAGCCUUGAAUCUGGAUAGAUCAACUUCCGAAGUAGGGGAGAACUGCGGUUCCACCUGGACGAGACGAGUGAAAACAACUAAUCCAAGAUCUAUGGACCAAGACUCACCGGGAUCAACACCAUUCUAUACCUUGCGGAAAAACAGUUCCACGACCAGGAUUAUCCGAUCCCAAAUAUGCCAAAACUGAGAUAAUAACUUAUCACUCAGAAACUCUAGGUUCACCCAACCUUGGUCCGUGUAGCAGUAACCGUCUCAAUCUACGUCAAAAGUUCAUGUAGAAAAGUCACAGGACAACACCACUAGUCUAGAGUAUAUUUUCAUAAGCCAAAAUGACACAUUCCGUGUGAGAUAUUGAAUCCCGAUGGAAUUUGGCUAACUUUGGCCAAAUGGACCAAAGUGGGCAAUUGAACGGUUUGGACAAGUUCCAUUCGGCAUUCCAACAAGUUUGGAAGAGCUAAAAUGAGUUCCAAAGGUGUUGGAUUGGUUUUGACAUCGAACGGCGCGAAUUAGAGCCGAAGAGAUGUGAAAACAACUUUCUGGAGCUGUUGUACCGGUAUAAGAGUGAUGGCUGUACCGGUACAACCAUCGCAGGCUCUCAGGUUGGAGGCUGCCAGACCUUGUACCGGUACAAGGGGGUCUUGUACCGGUACAAGCCCUGCGAAACCGAGAAACCGAGCUCUCGGGUUGGGCUGUCUGCCAGGCCUUGUACUGGUACAAGAACCCGUGUACCGGUACAAGGGACCCGAAAAUGUGGAUCUGGUUGGAAAAUUAGUUUUUUUGAGAGGGCUUUUGGGAUUUUGUUACAAUAGAGGUCUUAUACCUCUCUCUCAGCCACUCCCUCUCAUUUUUCUCUCCCUCUCUCUCUCACCUCUCUUGCUCUCUCUCUCUCUAAACCGAAAAGAGAAGAAAAGAAGGAGAAAAAGGAGAGAAAGAAGAAGAAGAGAAGAAGGAAAGGAAGGAGAAGAUCAAGGAGAAGAAGAAGAGGCUUCUCUCCCUCCUCAUCCUCAAGCUAGGGCUUGCUUUGGAGCAAACCCUAGAGGUAAGCCUCAACCCUAAUUUGAGAUUCUAGGGUUUUGGGAGCUUUUUGUUAGUUUUAAUGGUUCAAAUGGAACCUAAUGAGUUUAGAGGAUAUGGAUCUAGCUCACAAUGAAGCUAGAAAUCAUGGUUUCCCAUGGGUGCUAAACCUAGGGUUGGAUUUUGGGGUUUUUGGGAAUAUAGGGUUUUGAUCUAUUUUGAUGGGUCGGAAACCUAAUUGUUAUGCUCCCGAACGCGUAGGCGAAGAUGGUUCGUCGAUCCUUCGAGCGAGCGCGGAGAUAUCGCCACUUUGGUAGCUCUAGGGUUCGUUUUGACCCGAGGUGUUGAAGCGGCGCACGUGGAUUUCGACGCCGAGUUUCUUAGCUUUUCGGCACUACCACAAGGUGGGUGGUGACCUUCCCGAAGCCGCGGGGCUACGUUCUAUGUCCAAGUUUAUUAUUGAUCUAAUUGCAUCUUAUCCAUGUUGCAUAUAGGGUUAGAAAAUGAUUGUUGUUGCUUAUAUUUGCAUGCUAGUAGCUAUAUGUUUAGUUGAUUGAUCCAUGAUCUAGUAUGCAUGAAAACUACACGAUGAAAACCUAGACCCUAUAUGUAAUGGUUAAUGUUUAUGAGAUUAAAGAACUAGUAAGAUGUAACUAGUGUUGAAAAUGAGUCUGUGUGAUGGGCAAUCAGAGCGCACUAUACAGACUCUUGAGGACAUGCUUCGAGCCUGUGUGAUUGACUUACAGGGAGGAUGGUCACAGCAUCUAUCGAUGGCAGAGUUUGUUUAUAACAACAGUUAUCAAGCAAGCAUCAAGAUGAAACCACUCUAUAAACGGAAGUGUAGAUCGCCACUUCAUUGGAGUGAAGUUGGCGAGAGAUUGGCUUUAGGCCUCGUUGUGCUCCAGGAAGCAGAGGACAAGGUUCGCAUUGCUAGGGAGCGACUGUUUAUUGCUCAGAGUAGGCAGAAGAGUUAUGCUGACAAGCAUCGACAGGACUUAGAGUUUCAGAUUGGUGAUCAUAUCUUCUUGAAAGUCUCACCGACCAGAGGGAUUAGAAGAUUUGGAAUCCGAGGUAAGUUGAGCCCCCGAUACAUUGGACCGUAGAGGUUUUGGAGCGUGUAGGCCCGGUAGCGUAUCGGCUUGUUCUACCACCGAACAUAUCGGGUGUACACAAUGUUUUUCAUGUAUCGGUCCUUCGGAAGUACAUCCAGGAUCCGGCUCACGUGUUGGACGCUACACCUUUGGAGCUGAGGGAUGAUUUGAGCUUUGAGGAGCAACCUUUGAGAAUUUUGGCUCGCGAAGUAAAGAGAUUGCGGAAUCGUGAGAUGCCCUACGUGAAGGUGCUUUGGAGCAACCACAAUGAGCGCGAGGCCACGUGGGAGUUGGAGAACGCGCUGCGGGAGCACUAUCCCUAUCUUUUCUAGAUGGAGGCUUGAGGUACUUUGUCUUUCCGAGUUUCGCGGACGAAACUCCUUUUUAGAAGGGGUGAAUGUAACACACUUGACCUAUGCAAAUUGCGAGGUUCGAGUGAUUGGAUGUGUUCCGAGAUUUUCCACGCCUUGUGGAGGGUCAUAACAGGUGUUCCGACCUAAAAAGUUCGAAUCCUAAAAUUCCAGCUAAGUCCUGAGAGUUUUCCUCUCGGGGACCGAUCCCUGGUGGGAGAGACCGGUCCCCUUGGAACAGUAUUGCGGCUGACUGCGAGGCAACCGGUCCCUGGCGGGGGAGACCGGUCCCCGAGCGCGUUUUCGCGGGGAGCGACCGGUCCCUCGCGGGGAGAGACCGGUUCCCGAACGUUGGAUUUUUGGGGCAGGCUGAGAGACCGGUCCCAGGUCGGGGAGACUGGUCCCUCAGUCCGAAAUCUGCCCAAUCCGGGCUUGCACGGGUUGCAAAGUAGAGGGGCUUUUCUGGAUUUUGUUACAUUACAUAGUGUCACGCCCCGGGACCGACACCAAUUUCGACCCGAGCACGUCAAACAGACGCCGGACGGACAGAGUUUCCCCUAUCCGCACAAGGCUCAUCACAUGUACAUUUUCAUCAUUAGAGAAAAGCACUAGUGGAAACAUACACAAACGGCUUACACGAGGGUAAGCAAUAGCCAUUAGUGAAAGAAAGGAAAACUAAACAUCUACACAAGUAAUAUGAUUCAUUUUAGAUCAUAUACAUUGCAUCCAUCUCUUACAUUUAGGAUUCUUUGCAUUUCAUUACAUAAUUUCAUCAUUUCUUCCUUACAUCACAUUUACCUCAAAAUAAGCUUUACAUUCUUUUCUUUACAUUACUAGUCAUCAAAUACAAAAGAUGAACAUAGGGUAGCUACUAUCAAAAUGUAAACCCAACUUUGGUUUGGUGGCCUCUGACUAAGGUGCGAUACCUUUACCUCGGUCGUUCGCCGGCUCGCUCGGUCCCGGCUCUGUGGAAAUAGUGGGGUGAGAACUACAACAAAGUUCCCAGUGGGUUCGGCCUCAACAUCACCGACUUUCCCACUAGGACUAACUCAGGUAUAAUAGAAAGGAUAAGCUAAAAUAUAGUAACCAAUCUACAACAUGAUGCUAAUAUGCCUGAACAAAAGCAAGGAAUAUGCUGAACAUUAACAUAUGCAGAUUAUGCAAGUUCUUUCGUUCUUUAUCUUCACACUUUGUUCUUUGUUCUUUGCUCUUUGUUCUUUAUUCUUUAAUCUCAAGGCUAACUCGGGGGUUUCGCCACAUUAACUUGCUUCACAUUAAGUCCAUCAUCGCAGAAACUCACCCGCUAGGACCGUCCUUCGGGUUUACUCCAACCCGUGAUGCAUAACUCCGGAGCGCAUCGCCCAAGGGGGAGCGACCGCCCUCGAGCACGGAACUCAUAGCAAGUAUGAUCAUAUCCUUAACUCAAAGGAUUUAUAAGUUCAAUCUUGACUUUACACUAGCUCUACUGUUCAUUACAUCACUUUAUGUUGCUAACUCUAGCAAUCGUUAUUCUUUACUUUUCUUUUACUCUUGCCAUCCUUAGCAUUCUUAUUCUUUACAUUUCUUGUUCUUAUUGCCCCACUUCACUUUAACUUUAUACAUUGUCAUUUUCAUCAUUCUUUACAUCACUUUGGUUCUUUGGCUCACACUAACUCUAGUGUCACUUUACUUUACGUUUUCAAAUGCCACUCGAUCUAUGUCAUUGUGCCACUCAGUUCUUUUGGCUCACUUUAGCACUCACAUUUUUCUCUCAUGCAUACAUAUAGGGUUCUAACAUUCAUAAGGUUCUCAUUCAUCACAUUAUGCAGGUUGUACUCACAAUCAUGCAACAUUAUAUUUUCAUCAUCACUUUACCCUAAAAUGCAUGCAACAACAUAUAUAUAUAUAUGCUCAAAUGAAUGACACAUUAGGCAUAGAGAGAAGUUCAACGAGUUUGAGAAGCACCACCCACCUCGUAGGCUUUCAAAGGUGCUCCGAUGAUUUUCUUGGGAUUUUUAGACCCUUCGUUCUUUACCUGCGACAUAACGAACCCUUAUUAGGCCAUUUUGCCCAUAACUUUUGAUUGUCCUUUCGUAUACUUCAACGGAGCGCACCAACGCGUUCGUUGGGUCCCCAAUUAGGUUUUUAGAGGGUCAAUUGCACUUAGAAAUCCUCAUGAGCAAAAGCCCCAAUUUGGUGCCCUAGCUCCAACACAUAUCUCAAACCUAGGGUUUGAUCUCAAAGAGAAGCAAAAGUAGCUUCACUAUACUCUAAAUAGUCCAUUAGAACCAUUCUUAGGCUUUCCAAAACCCUAAGAAUGGUUUUGAUCUUUAAAUAAGCAAAAAGAAAGCUUACCUUGUAAGAAUGGUUUUAUAUCUCAAACGUAGCACUCACAUUUUUCUCACCUUGAGCUCAACCAUGGUUUUGAUCUUUAAAGAAGCAAAAAGAAAGCUUCAAACUACUAGAUAUUCCAUUAGAAACCAUUUCUAGGUUCAUUCAAACCCAUUUCUAGGGUUUUACUACAUUAGGGUUCAAAGCUUACCUUGUAAGCUUCCUUUUCUUGCACUAGAGAAGAAGGAGAUGGAGCCUCUUUGCUCCAAAAGCUUCUUCUUCACCUUCUUUUUCUUCUUUUCCUUUCUUUUCCUUUGCCUUCUUCUUCUCCUUCUUUGUAUUCUAGAGAGAGAAAGAGAGGAGAGAGUGUGAGAGGGAAAAAAUGAGAGAAAAUCUCAUUAGGCCCCAUAACAUAGCCAUUGGGUUGCCAAAAUGCAAAUAAACCCCUCAAUUUUCACCUUAAUACACUGCCCGAACUAGGCAGUUCGCGCAGGCGGGGUCCGGUCUCUCCUUUAGGGACCGGUUCCCGAACGUCGUCCCAGCGCAGCCAGAGCUGCUGCGCGCAGUGCAACCAGUCUCUCCUUGCGGGACCGGUCUCUCGGGGACCGGUCUCUCAGGUAGGGACCGGUUCCCGAGAGCUAGUUUCUCAGGACUUAGCCGAUUUUUCGGCUGUCUCAUUUCAUACCCGUUCGGGGACCGGUCUCUCCCACCAGGGACCGGUCCCCGAGAGUUCAAAAUCUGCAGCUUUGCAGAUUUGAUUCUAUAGCUCUCGAAAACCUCCCAUAACUCACUUUUACUCAUUUUAACACCUUCGGACUUUCCGAAGUGUACCGUCUUCGCACUUUGGUCAAUUUGACUAAAGUUCGACAUUUAUUUUUCGAAUUUUCGGUAUAUUACAGAUAGCCUAUAUUUCCACUCCACCUUCUCUUUCCCUCAUUUCUCUUCUCUCAACUCUCCCUACACCUUAGAUAGAAAAGGAGAAGAAGAAGGAGGAUGAGAAAAAGGAAGGAAGGAGAAGAAGUAGACCAACAAGACGACUUGGAGCAUCCUUCUCUCCCUCUCUUCUCCCCUUGGGUGCUUGAAGGCUUGGACUUGGAGCUUGCUAAAGAGGAGAUCUUCACUCUCGGAGCUUGGAUUGGAGCUUCUAAAGAGUUUGGUUGCUUGUUUCUCCCCUCUAGACCUAGUUUUGAUGGUUUUUGGGAGGUGGAACCCUAGAAUGGAAAAUCUAGGGUUUAUUUGGGGCUUUUUGAUUAGAGGCUUUUUGAGAUAAUCUAAUUGGAUUAGAACCUUGGUUUAGGUUGCUUUGGAAGGGAUCUAGCUUCCAUUUGAGUUUUGGAAAGGGAUUUUUACACUAUAGGUGAGAUUUUGGCCCUUUUCCUUAGUAGAUUAAUGUUUGAGCUUGUAGUUGAUCGUAAGGUUCGUUUAACCUUUGUUCUUGUGCCUCUAGGGUACUAAGAGACUAGAGGACACCUUCGUUGGAGCUUACGAAGGGUUUCGAGAUGGUUCGGUGGGUUUGACCUAGCCUAGUAUAUGAGAAAUCCUCAUAUCCUAUGUUUUAUGCUUCGUAAAGUAGAAAUUCAUACAUUUUCAUGAUAAAUGUAAUUCUUGUGAAUUUUAGAAUGCUUAACAUCCCUACGUCAUGUAUAAUGAAUUUCGGACUUCUAUAUAGUAGAGGGAGAGUUGCAUGUGAAGCUUGCACUAGCAUUGGGCAUUCUUAUGUUGGACUCGGGACCAUAUUUCUUACAAUAAAAUUGAGUAUUGCUUCAUGCAUUUUAACCUAUACCUAAUUGAGACAUAAGGGACUUUAAUAAGCUUUAAGGGGCUUGGGGACUUGUACCACUUGAGAGUGAUUGGGCUAAUAUCAUAAAGGGGCAUUGAGCUCGGGUUAAAUGAGAAUCUAGUACUAAUGUCAUAAAUGGAACAUAGAUUAUGAAAUGUGUUAACUUAUAACAAGCUUAAGUGUCAUAAAGAGGCACUAAGCAUAGGGAGUGUUGGAACAUCACUUUGAGACAUUGAACUAGAUCUUUGAGAUGCUAGUGACUUUACCAUGUUAGAGACAUGAUGAUUGAAUUUUUGAGACGUUAAUUACGCUUGCUUGCCAUUUGUGCUCAUUCGCACAUGCUUGUGAGGGUCGCUCCCUACAAGCCGGCACUCCGGAGUUGGCCUACGCGACUUAUGCUCGCUCGUACGGUAUCGAGAAACCUACGGGGUCGGGAGGGAUAGACUCAUUCCUAGAGUGGGAAUGCUGGAGCUACCACCGACACUUAGGUGGCACAAGCUGGACUAUACUAUGUAGGUUCUAGAACAUGUUGGAAACAACGACAUUGAACGGAAAAUAAAAAUCACUAUUAGAUAGGUUUUGUAGUUGGAUUACUUUAACAUGCUUAAAGCAUAGUGUUAGGACAUGUAGUAUGCCAACAUGUAGUAUGCUUGACAGUUUAUUUGUUGCAUCAUAGUAUACUUGGUUGCUAUGAUAGAUCAUAAUCAUCAUGCAUUGAUAGAACGGAUCAUAAUAUUUACUUGUUGCCAUGUCGGGACAUUGUUUUAUGCAUUGGACAUACUUCAUUAUGAAAGAGUAAAUGUACAAUACAUUGACAUCGUAAUGCUUAUGGUAUAGUAAUUUUAGUGAACAUACAUGCUUUCCUCCCGCGGUUAUCAUUAUUAUUAUUGUUGCUUAUCGUACUUACCCUUUUCUUUUGGGGCCUAGUGGUGCAUUGAGCUGAGGUCAGUAAUUGCCCACUAGGAACUAUAAAUUAUAUUUCUCACGCCCUUUGUUUUAUGUUUUUAUUUUCAGAGCUUUCCACUCCGGGCGAGGCUAGGGACCGCGGAAAGGGUAUCGCCUCGAGCUAGCUAGCUGUCGAGGACGCGUUGAUAGGUGGUCUACCUCUCGUCGUUUCUUUUUGGAGAGGUAGAGAGUUGUACCAUGUAUAGAGACCACCCAUUUUUUUUGGUGUACUUCAGGAAAUGGUUAUUGUAUUACUUUAUAUUUACUUUAGUUGAGUAGUUCUCUUCUUCUACUGCUGUUGCUAGUAUUAGUGGUUAUACUUGCUCUGAUAUCACUAGUUAUUGUUCCUCCUUUUCUUCAUAUUCCUUGUUUUGUUUCCGCCCUUUAUAUGUGUAGACAUAUGGCGGGUCUGGGCGCGCUACUGGGAGGGCCUCCGCCAGUCCCGGGGCGUGACACUGAGGGCCCGAUGGGUUAGCCACAAGAUUUUGUAAAGAAAAUGUAAACUUGCAUUCAUCAUGAGCAUCUCAUUGAGCAUAUGAUUGAGUUUAUUAUUCAGGCAUAUUAGCUGCAUUUGUUAGUUGGUUACUAUCUAUUUUUUCUUUUAUUAUGCCUGAUUUAGACCUAGUGGAAAAGUCGGCAAGAUCGGGGCCGAACCCACUAGGAACUUUGUUGUAAUUCUCACCCCACUAUUUCCACAAAGCCGGGGCCGAGCGAUCCGGCGGACGAUCGCGAUAAGGGUAUCGCACCCUAGACAGUGACCGCCCGAGAUACUUUCACAUUUUGUAGUUGCAUACCCCUUUUAUAUCAUCUUUUGUAUUUGAUGAUUUUAGUUGUAUCAAAGACAUUUGAAUGAAUGAUGUAAAGGAUUACAAUUUAAAUGCAAAUGGUUGUGUUUUGAGGAAUAUGUGAUUUAUAAAAGAAAUGAUGCAAAGUAGUAAAAGAAUUUGGUAAAAGUAGUAUGCAUGUAUAUGAUUUAAAGUUAAUCAUAGUACUUGUAUGUUGAAUAAUUAGUUCUUUCACUUUAGCUAUUGCUUGCCCUCAUGCAAGCCACGGUGUAUGCUUCCGUUUUGUACAAAAUUCAUACUCUAUUUGUACAGGAUGUUGAGCCUUGGGCGGACAGGGGAGACUUUGUCCGUUCGGCGUCUGUUCGACGCCCUCGAGCCGGCCAAAAGGAUCGGGCUCGGGGCGUGACAUAGAGGACCUUGUGAAUGAGGUUAGAAGUACGGAGUUGGUGUCCUCGACUCUAAUAAUCAUUGGCAAGAUAGUGGCUUUGUCGCCGCUUUGGCCGCAAUCAUCUAACAUGAAGAGUCGCAGACUGCACAGCCAUGUGCAACACAGACACAAGGAUAAAUCUGACUUUUGUUUGCAGUUCUUAUAUUUUGUGAAAAUUAGGCACUGCAAUAGGAUAUCUAAUGCGCAUUGUCCUCUCAAAGAGGUAUUUUCUCGACUUUACGGAUCAAAGAUGAAUUAAUCAGAGUAAGAGGAUCAAAAUCUGCGAAUAGCAUAUGAAUUAGAUAGAUUGAGGAACAGAGAGCUGAAGGAAAAGUGUCACGCCCCGGGGCCGAUUUUAAAAGCCAUUUUGAAAACAGAGUUGCGGAAGACGUGCCUUUUUUUUUUUUCAACCUGGCCCAUGCGAUGUACAGAUCCGCCACAAAUACAAGGUUCCUCGGUCCACUCGGACAGAGUCUCCUUUGUAUUUGCACGGCGUACCAACGAUACAACAGGAUCUCAACUACAAUCUACAAUUACCAAUCAACAACCAAUUCAUGAUAUGCAUUUUCAUACAGCUAACAAUCCCUAGAGAUGAUGCAUGCCUCUAAGCACUCCUUAGGUGCUAGAUGAUGCCAUGCACAGUACAACAAUCAUCCUAUUUAAAAGUGCUCCCCACCCGGAAGCUAGCGAUCCUUAGAUAUGAUGCAUGCCUCUAAGCACUCCUUAGGCACUGGAUGAUGCAAUGCACAGUACAACAAUCAUCCUAUUUAAAAGUGCUCCCCACACAGAAGCUUUUAUUUUUAAAAUCUAAUUCAUUCAUUCAUGAAAACUAUUCGAAAAUCUUUUGAAAAUUGUUUCCCACACGGAAACUAUAUUUUGAAAACCAGCUACCUCGAGGGGUACAAGGACCAAAAACCAUAAAACUAGAACCAUAAAUCUAUAAACCCCAAUCUCAGAUCCACAAUCACAAGCAUAAAUAAUGAAAACAUCCACAACUAAAACCAGUUCACAACAUUCAAGCAAUCAGAGGAUUAUCUAACUGAACAAUUUAUUUAAACUACUAAAAGCAGGAAUGAAAUAACCAGGGUGAUGGUCGCUACACCAGACUAGCUAGAUCGUCUUCUCGUCGAGCCCAAGUACCAACUCCAAGCUCGAAUCACCUGGGGAAAUGGGGGGUGAGAAACCGUAACCAUGAUUUUCCAGUGGGUACGGCAGAGCCACGAAGGCAAGUCGUAAUCACCGGAAACCAAAGGAGAUAGAUAAACAAGUAUAUAUAUGCUGAUAUGAAACAGAACUACAGAUAUGAAUAUGAUGUGAUAUAAGAGCAACUACAGUAGUAAUAGAAACGGGAUAAUAACUGAGCAAGAAUGAAACUACUACUGUAACAAAAAACUCAACUGAUCAGAUGCCUCAAAGGUGAAUAGUCCAAAACCAAACCUAAUCUGAUACUACUAUAUUGGUCCGCAGACCUCAAGCGUUGCCUGUCACAGAGCAGACACUGCGAGCUUAUUCAUGCGUCACCGACGACCUAUCCGGAUACGUACACCCCUUGGAUGGUGGCCAAACCAACCUGGUGUCUAGAAUACACAGUGCUGUGACUAAAUCAUGCUGGUAUGCUCAAAACAAAAAUCGACAAAAAGAGACCGGUACCAUGGCCGAAGCCAGUGCAAGGGCGUACAACGAACCACGAUCAACCAGAUCGAAACACAUGACAAGAGAGUCGAUGUGUUGCCUGGACCCAAGGUCCACAGAGAUGCAAUAUACGAAUGCAAGCCUGCUCUACAUGUCUAUCCACAACUAUACAAAUGCAAUCAAUGGAAUACGAUAAGCAACGAUAAACAAACAACUGACAUGUAGAGACUACGAUACUGAAUGAAAGAAUAGAGGAAGGGAGAAACGAUCUCACCGACUACUAGCUCGAAGCACCCACCUGACACUGUCGCGUCGAAACACUGGGUACGCACAAGUCAACCGAACCUACGAAGAUCCAACAGGUCAGUAACAAACCAACUCACCUGAAGUAUACUAUCUUACAAACCCCCACACAGAUCCCCGAAUCGGUUUCCCAAAACCGAUCAUCGUAACUAACCGGAAGUCCCAAAAAUCACACCGGGACGCCGUCGGGACCCACUGAGUGUCCCGAAACUCACCGACUCGUGCCACGAGUCACCUGCUGCCCCUAAACACUCCGAUUUGGAUGGUUUGGCAGCAAACACAAGAUAACACCACUACACAAUUAUCGUCGGAUAAUUGUACGAAUUCGGGUUUCCGAAAGUGUCUAUUUCGACACCGGAACCCACCGUCGCUCACCCAUCAUCACCGAACCCACAAAAUGAUAAUGGUGACGAGCCAACAAGGCUCAGCGAUAAUUUACAGGAUAACCAAACCUCGUUGGAAGAAAUCCGAACUGAAAUCGUGUUCUUUCGGCAAAUUUUGCCGAAAAACGCACCGGAAUCGACUUUUUGAUAUCCGCAAAAGCUAUUAGAUCAUGGACAAUUAGUCCGAAGGUCACCAUACACACCAACGCACUGCCCACAGUAGCCACAAGGUGUACAAAUGCAUAAAAGUCCCUAUGUUUACAUAAAAUCCAUCAUUUUAUGUAAAUCGGGCGACUUCUAUGACUCGUUCUCACAAACCGAGGACUUCUAAGUUCCACCGAGACACGUACUGACAGGUCUCGACGUACCGGAGGCCGUGCUCAUGGUCUGGAGCGCAACAGCUCACUGUGGGAAGCGCGGGAGCAGCCUGAAAAUUCUGUGAACAGCCUGCAGUCGGGGAAAAACGCACCAAGCAGAACGAUACGACAUCCGCUGAUCCAAAAUAAGGUGAGCACUGUGAUCAGCACUGAUUCACAAUCACCGUGCUCACCUCCAGAGGCAUCAGAAUAGCCUCGGAUCACCGGCAAAGUGCGUUCAAACCCGCAACAGCAGCCAAAAAGGCUCUAUAGGGUCGACAAUGCCGAAAUAGCGGAACGGAUUCUCCCCGACAGAAACUAAGGUGAGCACGAUGAUCAGCAAUUUGCCACGAUCAUCGUGCUCCCUUCCGUAGAGAUCGGGGAGGCUCGGAAAGCUCGGAACAGCAAACCGCCAAGGAAUAGCCCUAUUUCGGGCUUGGCCGGAGCAAGCUUGCUCCGGCCAGCUUCCGGCAUCACGGUGUGGUGCCCGCAGGCCAGGAAUGGAUGCGGGGGAGGUGAGGAGUGUGGUGCUCACCUCAGUUGGCGGCGAGGAGCGGCGGCGGCGACAGUGGAGAGACUUGAGCCCGCACGUGCAAGGCCUCGGGUUCCAAAGUAGCUGCGGCCACGGCGGCGGUCGGGGCACUCAGGGACGGCGGCAGAGGGUCGUCUGAGGUCAACGGAAGGCGGCAUGGGUAGUUUCGGGCGGCGGCGACGCGAGGGAGUGCUCGCAAAGUUGUCUCGGCCCGAACAGAUCAGGGGCGGCCGCGGGUUGGCCGAGACGGCGGCGACGACCCGCAGAGGCGGCGGCAACCGGCUAGGAAGGUCGGUGAGGCCCAAGGGAAGGCCGCGGGAGCGACCCCAAGUGGCUGCGGCGCGGAGAAGAGGCCACAUAGUCAGCUUGGUCUGGGCUCGGCCAAGCCGGACGCAGGAUGUAGCAGCGGCAGCAGCCGCGCGCAGAGGCGACGGCGGUCGGCGGGGAGGCUCGCCACGGCACGGGGGCGAUGCCGGCAAGGUGCAGGGAGGCAAUGCAGCCUCAGCCAAGGCUCCAACCCAAGAAGACCAGAGGGGUGGAGAGAGAAAUGGAGAGGGAGGGAUGGAGAGGAAGGCUGCGGUUGCUGCUGGCCGGCCGGGGCUAGGUCGGCGGCUGCCGGGAGUGGCGCAGCAAGGGCAGGGCAACCAAGGGAGGCGACUGGGCGUUUAGCUCGGGCUAGGGUUAGGGUUUUCAUAGUGAAAACCCUAAAACAAGCAUAUAUACAAGGUACAAUUUGCGAGUUAGCCCACCAAACCUCAGUAUUUAGUACUGAGUCCCUCACAGCGCGUGUACAACGCAAGAAUACCCCUCUACGUGCGAUCUCAUACAAAUGGUACAUAAAAUGUCGCGACUUUUGCGAAAAUACAGUUUUGCGAUCACCGACCUCUCCUCGAUCAACGCGCAAUCUCCGUAGAUCCGUCCGUCAGAUUUGCAAACGGAUCACGCCAGUGCGAUCAGCACGACGGAGACAAUAAAGCUAGGAUUUUGUUUCACCUUAUCGAUCACGGAUUUGCGACGAAAUCCGCUUUCUCUCCAAAAGGCCAAGAUGACGCACAAAUACAUAUAAAACACGUAUUUUUGGAUUUCCUCGAAAUCCAUACAUGAAACUCAAAAUCCGCCAGCGCCAUUAGUCCCAGAACAGCUGAACCGGUCGAAACGAGCUAUUGGAUCGCUAUGAACGGAGUCCGAUACGAGCCUGAAGCCAACUCUACGCAUUGAGUUUUCCGGAAAAUCAAGUUACUAUUCACUUUAAGUGAAAUUGGAAAUCACGUAGAAUCUCCGUUCUAACUUGUUUUCUCUCAAAACUUGACGAGUGCUUUUGUAAUUAAAUUACACACAAAAACAUCAUCAACAGAGAGUUUAACUAUACUGUCUCGCUCAUACUCUCCUACGGUACGGUUGCCUUGCUUGAGGCGUUCUAGCUCGCGCUCCAGACUCUGCUUGGUGCUGUCCAUGAAGUACUACUCGUAAAGGAGUCUCCGGAACUCCUCCCAGCUUGGAUAGAUGCUCCCAAGUUUGCGCUCGAAGUGCCUGAUCCACCACGAAUAUGCAUCCUUCUCAAGACAGUGAGCAGCUAGAGGGACGCGAUCCAGCUCCUCGAUGUGUAGAUCAUGAAACAGUUUCUCCAUAUGAGUAACCCAAUGCUCGAUCACCGAGGCGUCGUCGCUCUUUCCUGCAAACUUCGGCGGAUCGAACUUUCGAAACUCCACCAGCUUCGCCCAUAUGCGGGUGCCUUCCGCUGCAGGGGUAUCAGCACCCCCAGCGGGAACCGUCGUGGUGGCCGUCGUCGUCGUAGUAGUGACAGCUGGAGGUACGGCAGGCGCAUGCGUCGCGGGAGGAUCCGCGUUCACCGAAGUGUCCUGUGCCGAAGGUGGGACCGGGGUAGCAGUAGCCGCAGCCUGUUGCUGCAAGAACUGCUGGAACAAACCAGAGAGGGUCAUGAGCUGACCCCUCAAAUCAGCUACCUGGGCCUCGAGCUGCUGGGCGCGAGUACCACGCAGCGGCUCCGUGCCCGACUGCUCCCCAACACCCCCACUCGUAGGAACACGAGUACUACCCGAUGCCUUUGCACCAGCACAUCCACCAUCACGACCCGGACGAGGGGGUCUACCACGAGCCAUCUGCAAGAGAAAACACCGUCAAGCGAACCAAUCGACUCGACAAACAAACUCACCUGGACUCAAACCCCAUACACCGCACUCGCGUGCCUAUAUGCCUUAGGUCUUCCUAUGGGUCAACCUAAUCAAUGGUUCAGUUAGAAACUUGUAAAUGUAGUUGUAGUUGUUUCACUCUCUAAUACCAUCUUAAUCUGUUACACCCCAGGGCCGAUUUUAAAAGCCAUUUUGAAAACAGAGUUGCGGAAGACGUGCCUCUUUUUUUUUUCAACCUAGCCCAGGCGAUGUACAGAUCCGCCACAAAUACAAAGUUUCUCCGUCCACUCGGACAGAGUCUUCUUUGUAUUUGCACGGCGUACCAACGAUACAACAUGAUCUCAACUACAAUCUACAAUUACCAAUAACAACCAAUUCAUGAUAUGCAUUUUCAUAUAGCUAACAAUCCUUAGAGAUGAUGCAUGCCUCUAAGCACUCCUUAGGCGCUGGAUGAUGCCAUGCAUAGUAUAACAAUCAUCCUAUUUAAAAGUGCUCCACACCCGGAAACUUUAUUUUUAAAAUCUAAUUCAUUCAUUCAUGAAAACCAUUCGAAAACCUUUUGAAAGCUGUUUCCCACACGGAAACUCUAUUUUGAAAACUAGCUACCUUGAGGGGUAGAAAUCCAUGAUGUAUAAAUCCGUAAAAUACGCAAAUCCAAGGACCAAAAACCAUAAAACUAGAACCAUGAAUCUAUAAACUCCAAUCUCAGAUCCACAAUCACAAGCAUAAAUAACGAAAACAUUCACAACUAAUACCAGUUCACAACAUUCAAGCAAUCAGAGGAUUAUCUAAUUGAACAAUUUAUUUAAACUACUAAAAGCAGGAAUGAAAUAACCAGGGUGAUGGUCGCUAUACCAGACUAGCUAGAUCGUCCUCUCGUCGAGCCCAUGUACCAACUCCAAGCACGAAUCACCUGGGGAAAUGGGGGGUGAGAAACCGCAACCAUGGUUUUCCCAGUGGGUACGACAGAGCCACGAAGGCAAGCCGUAAUCACCGAAAACCAAAGGAGAUAGAUAAACAAGUAUAUAUAUGCUGAUAUGAAACAGAACUACAGAUAUGAAUAUCAUGUGAUAUACGAGCAACUACAGUAGUAAUAGAAACGGGAUAAUAACUGAGCAAGAAUGAAACUACUAUUGUAACCAAAAACUCAACUGAUCAGAUGCCUCAAAGGUGAAUAGUCCAAAACCAAACCCAAUCUGAUACUGCUAUAUUGGUCCGCAGACCUCAAGCGUUGCCUGUCACAGAGCAGACACUGUGACUUAUUCAUGCGUCACCGACGACCUAUCCGGAUACGUACACCCCUUGGAUGGUGGCCAAACCAACCUGGUGUCUAGAAUACACAGUGCUGUGACUNUCACACAGGAAACAGCUAUGACCAUGAUUACGCCAAGCUAUUUAGGUGACACUAUAGAAUACUCAAGCUUUUAGUUGUUCCAAAACCAGCUUUUCCUACCAAUAUAUUGAAAAGAAUGCAUCAACGAACACAAAAAGGACAGAACAAAUUAAAUCGAAGUUGAAAAGAUAAUAUAGCUUGCAAUCUAUUCCUCCUGCCCAUCCCUAAGUUCAUUAUCUUAUUGACCUCUUCCAUUGUGGUGCCUAAGAACUCAUCUCCUCGUGGCUUCUUGGAGGGCACACCCCUCCAGCAACAAACAGCACCAACAACCAUUUAGGGGGAAAGAGAGAGAGAAAGAGAGAGAGGGGGAGAGAAAGAGGGAAGGGGAAGAGGGAGAGAGGGGGAGAGAGAGAGAGCCGCGCCGCGACCCGCGCCAGCGCUCGCUCGAGCCGCCCACUCACGCUGCGCUUGUCCGUGGGGGGGAGAGGGAGAGGGAGAGAGGGGGAGAGAGAGAGAGAGUUGCGCCUGCGCCCGCUCGAGCCGCCAGCCCGCGCCGCGCGCCCACGCCGUGCCUGCGAAUGCUACCAUGUGCGCGCGACCCGCACACGCCCGUGCUGCCACGUGCGCACGACCCACGCCCAGCGCCCGCUCGCGCCUCUGUCACGCCCCGGGACCCGGCAUAGGUUCGCCCGCUGCGUGCCCAGACCCGCCAUAUGCCUGCACAUAUAAGGCGUCUACAAAAAAAGAGAUAUGAAAGUAAGAAGAAAUAAAGUCACUAGAGAUAUCAGAGCUACUAACAACAAGUAGAGAAAGGGGGAAAGUAAACUACUAAACAUAAAGAUAAAGUUAGUACAAAAGUCAUCACAAAAGUACUACAAAAAGGGUGGUCUCUAUGCAAGGUACAACUCUCAUCUUCUCCCAAAAGAAAAUAAAGAAGAAGUGGGCCACCUAUCGAACGUCCCUCGCUCACAAGCUAGUUCGUGGCGAUUCCCUUUGCGCGGUCCCUAGCCUCGCCUGGAGUGGAAGGCUCUGAAAUAAAAACAAGAAACAGAGGGCGUGAGAACUAUAAUUUAUAGUUCCCAGUGGGCAAUUACUGACCUCAGCACUAAGCACCACUAGGCCCCAAAAGAAAAGGGUAAGUACGAAAACCGCAAAUAAAAAUAAAUAGAUUGCAUUAGUGAAAGCAUAAAUAAAAUGCUGAAUUACUAUGUCGCAAGUAAACAUGAUGUCAAUGUGUUGUACAUCUACUCUAUCAAAAAUGAAGUACGUCAUAUCCCAACAUAACGAGCAAGUAGAUAUCAUAAUGUCACGCCCCGCCCUGAAAACACUACCAAUUUGGCAUGAUUCGGCCGCGGCGACAGACCGCCGAACGGACAGCACCUCCCUUGCUCGCCCAAGGCUCAACCACAGGAAUGUGUACAAGAAUUUACCCAGGACUUUAAAUUCUAAACAUACACAUUCAACGAGGGCACAAACAGUGCCAACAAUAAGAAGAGCAAGUAAUCCACAAGAUAUACGAGUGAAAUGAAGAGAGUACUUUACUAACUAUUACAAUAGUUACAUUCUUUACCUUUACAUCAUUUUCAAAAAUGAAUACAUUUGAUCCUCAAAAUACAUAGCUCUCCAACCUCACCUACAUGAAUCUCUCUCAAUACAUAGGUGUACUAAUGCAAAAGGGAAAGCUACUACACUACCACGGCCUCACUGAUCGGGCGCGAUGCCCUUGCCGCGGUCCUCUCUCUGCAGCCCUGAACCUACCACUGGAAAUAGAGUGGGGUGAGAACUAUCUUCCAUAGUUCCCAGUGGGCUCGGCCACCGACUCUGCCGAUCUCCCCACUAGGUCCAAGUGGGCACAAGUAACAACAAAUAGAUAGAUAGAUAUGUAUCUGAAAGCUGUAAAUGCAGUAGUAGGAAAACUAUGCUACUAUGCCCAUAAUCAUGAAUAUGAAUGCAUGCAUCAUAUAAUAAAGGUUUGCUACCAUGCUAACAAAUUCGAUCCAUGUUCGAAUAGUAAUGUUCAAUAUGUUCAAUGACAUUUAUUAACCUUUAACCUUUCAUUUACCCAAUCUGUGGCGAGGCCCUAGGGUGAACAACGAAAGUUGUGUACCAUAGUCAGUAGCUAGGUAUGGAUAGGGGGGCAUGGAAUACAUAUGAUGAGCUACAACAAUGGUUAAAGAGCCUAACAUAGCCAGGUUAAGAGAUAAUUGAGCAUGCCAUGACGUUGUUAGGAUUUCAUAUAGGCCCUUAUGGCCCUGGCCCAUAAAUGGACCUUUAUGAGCCUCUAAAAUGUCCUUAAGGCCAUGACCAAUGCCCCACGCCCAUAACUCAUCUUUCAAUCCCAAAGUGGGGAGGGAGCUCCAAGUGCACCCAAGCCCGGGACCGUCUGCGGACCUCCAUGUGGUCCGGACCUCCAAGUGGUCCUAGUCGCGCGACACUCCGGAGUACUCGACGACAAUCCCCUCCAUGUGGGGAUUGGAUGGCUAUGCCACCCUAAACGCAGACUGUGAGCUAGAUCUAUCCUCUCCAUGUGAGGAUACACUGUAACUAGGGUCAACACCCAAUCCAAUCCUCUCCAAGUGAGGAGGCUCUACAACUAGAGUCAAUAACCCAAUCGAAUCCUCUCCAAGUGAGGACGCCCUAUACUAGGGUCAACGACUAUCGCGGAAUCAUCGGUUCCCGACAUUCAUGCAAUGCUAUUUAGUUUUCUAAAUUCAUUGUUCACAAGGCAUUUUCUAAGGGAUCCACCUAUCCCUAGGUCCAUCGACCUCUAGUGUUAUUUACACUACAUUAAUGCCACUCGUUAUCAUUCAAUGUUUGGAUGCCACUCGUUUGUUCUUUAACAAUAACACUACUUUCUAUGUCAUCAAUACCCCCAUCGGGUUCAUCUCUUUUCUUUCGCACCAUAGGAUUCACGUCUCGACCCAAUCCUCACCUAUCUAAGUUACCAAGCGUUCCAAGUACACUAGGUUAUCAAUUAGAAAGCAUAAGGAAUGGAGCUACUAUGCAAUCCUACAAUGCAACAUGAAGAGAUGAGAUUAAAUGCAAUCUAAGACAUAGAAAGGAGUUCGAAAGUUUCGGAUGACACCCCCCACCUUUAAUCGAUGUAGAGGUUUCGGAAAUCUCUCUCGGCGAGCUCUACGAAAAGGCCUUAGCCUUCCUCGCCCGAAUCAACACUAGCCCGGCCCGAUUUUGCCGAGAACUUCACGUCGGUUCGCCGAAUGCCAAAAUCGACUUCGCCCCCGCGUUUUGGGACCUAUCAAUAGGGUUUCCAAGGCUUCAAAUGAGAUCAAUCUCAUACAUUUACAAAAACCUCAUUUUGGAACCCUAGAUUUGCACCUAUAGCAAAUCACCCCAUAAAUCCCUAGAUUCUUGGGAUUGAUCUAUUUAGAAGCUUGCUUAGGGUCCAUUUGACCCAUUCCAAGGCAUAAAACCCAAAAACCCUAAGUUCUAGAAGCUAGGGUUUAGUAGCUUACCUCAAGAGCUACUCCAAUGGGAAGAGGAGAGGGAGAUGGAGGUGCUCAAAGCCUUCCUCUUGAUCUCCUUCUUCUUCUCCUUCCUUAUCUUCCUCUUCUUUUCCUUCCUCUCCUUCUUGUUCUUCUUCUCCUUCUUUCCUUUCUAGAGAGAGAGAGAGCAAGAGAGAAAUGAGAGUGAGAGAGAGUGAAAUGAGAGAGUGUGAGGGAGAGAGAGGGCUCAGCCCACUCAAAUAAAGGCCAUUUUGCAUAAAAGCCCCUCAACUUUCACCCCUGUGCACUGCCCUUACUGGGCAGUUUUCGCGCGGAGGGACCGGUCUCCCCGACUUGGGACCGGUCCCCGAGAGCUUCCCUCGGGCGCACGCGUUCGGGAACCGGUCUCUCCCCGGGAGACCGGUCCUCGGGAGACCGGUCCUCACCUGAGAGACCGGUCCCCGAGAGCUUGAUUUUCAGGACUUAGCCAAUUUUUUGGCAUCUCUCGCUGGGACCACGUUCGGGAACCGGUCCCUCCCUGCCAGGGACCGGUUGCAUCACGCAACCCCGCUACACCCAGCCAGGGGAACCGGUCUCUCACCUGCAGAGACCGGUCCCCGAGAGCAACAUCAGCCCAAUGAUGCCAUUUGCCUCAUUUGCUCUCGCGGACUCAACUCCAAGGCACUUUUUGUGCUUUGGACAUUCCCAACUCCCACAAAGGGUAUACUCUCGACAAUUAGUCGAUCCUGGAUGGAGUACAAUUCUCGCAUUUCGAGAAUUCACUUCCUUACAUCCCCCCCUCCUUAAAAGGAGUUUCGUCCUCGAAACUAACUCAAUUCCUUAUUUUAAUUCAAAUCCGUACCGUACUCCUCAAAGAGAUGAGGAUGGUGUUUUCUUAUCAGAUCUUCGAGUUCCCAGGUGGCUUCGCGAUCAUCAUGAUUGCUCCACCUAACCUUCACAUAGGGGAUUUCUCGAUUCCUCAACUUCCGCACCUCUCGGGCGAUAAUCCCUACCGGAAACUCUUCAUAGCUCAAGUCUCCUCGAAGUUCCGGCGGUUCAUUAGCAUUGCGUGCUCGGGGUCGUGAAUGUACUUGCGGAGAUUGGAGACAUGGAACACAUUAUGUACAUCAGCAAGCUUCGGCGGUAGAGCAAGCCAGUAGGCCACCGAGUCGACUCGCUCUAAUAUCUCAUAUGGUCCAAUAUAUCGGGGACUUAGCUUUCCCCGCACUCCAAACCGCUUCACACCCCGCAUGGGUGAAACCUUCAAGAAUACGCGGUCACCCACUGUGAAUUCUAUAUCUCGACGGCGCCUAUCCGCAUAACUUUGCUGUCUUGACUGCGCCGUGAGCAAUCUCUUGCGAGCAAGGCGGACUUUCUCCUCCGCUUCUCGCAACACAUCCGGGCCGAACUCCGCACGCUCGCCAACAUCGCUCCAGUGUAUAGGAGAGCGACACGUCCGCCCAUAGAGAGCCUCGAACGGUGCCAUCUCCACACUAGCAUGAUAACUGUUGUUGUAGGCGAACUCGGCCAUGGGUAGAUGGUCGCACCAACUUCCCUUAUAGUCGAUGACACACGCUCAUAACAUAUCCUCCAGAGUUUGAAUUAUUCUCUCUGUUUGCCCAUCGGUCUGGGGAUGAAAUACGGUGCUAAAGUCAAGCCGUGUGCCAAGGGCUCCCUGCAGGCUCUUCCAAAAGUGUGAAGUGAACCGGGGGUCACGAUCCGACACGAUCGAUUUCGGCACCCCAUGCAGUCUCACUAUCUCGUUGAGAUAUACCUGCGCUAACUUGUCACCUGACCACGUGGUGUGGAUCGGCAAGAAAUAAGCCGACUUAGUUAAUCGGUCCACAAUUACCUAUAUUGCAUCGUGGCCGCCCGUUGAGCGAGGCAAGCCGACCACGAAGUCCAUCGAUAUAUCCUCCCAUUUCCAAACGGGGAUUGGUAGGCUUUGAAGCUUUCCCGCUGGAAAUCAACGCUCUGCUUUCACUUGUUGGCACGUUAAGCACUUCGCCACAAAGCGCCCAAUAUCACCCUUCAUUCCCGGCCACCAAUAAUGCAUUUUCAAUCCUCGAUACAUUUUGGUGCCCCUCGAGUGAUCAGCAUACGGAGAUCUGUGUGCUUCUUGUAAAAUCAAUUCGCGAAGCUCUCCAUCUUUCGGCACACACCAUCGGUUUCUAAACCGAAGCGCACCAUCGGCGUUUAUACUAAAAUCGCCGCCACGCCCUUCCUCGAUGUUUCGCCGCACCUUUUGGAGCUCUGGGUCUGCGGGUUGCAGAUCUUUAAUCCUCUCCAACAAGGUCGGUUGGACAACGAGUGCCAUCAGCUGAGUCGGGACCUCGGGAGCGACCACUUCAAGGUCCAACCGCUCCAUAUCCAGCCACAGAGGUGUUUGCUGGGUAACAUCAAAUGCGAGGUUCUUCGCUGACUUCCUACUUAGUGCGUUCGCGACCACAUGUGCCUUCCCGGGGUAGUAGAGGAUAUCGACAUCAUAAUCCUUUAACAGCUCCAACCACCGCCGCUGACGCAUAUUGAGCUCCUUCUGAGUAAACAAGUACUUUAAGCUCUUGUGGUCGGUAUAGAUCUCACAGUGGGCACCAUAUAAAUAGUGCCUCCACAGCUUUAAGGCGAAUAUCACCGCCGCUAGCUCCAAAUCAUGGAUGGGGUAGUUCUUCUCGUAGCUCUUCAGCUGACGGGAUGCGUAGGCAAUCACCUUCCCGUUUUGCAUCAACACACACCCCAACCCAAGAUAGGAGGCAUCACUAUAAACCACAAAGUCUUCGCCCUGCACCGGUAGAGCGAGCACCGGAGUCGAAGUCAAUCUUUGCUUCAACUCUUUGAAACUCCGGUCGCAUUCUUCGCUCCAAACGAACUUGGUGCCUUUCUGGGUUAGACGAGUAAGUGGAAUCACUAUCUUUGAAAAGCCUUCCACAAACCGCCUAUAGUAGCCCACUAAGCCCACGAAGCUUCGAACCUCCGUGACAUUCGUCGGGCGCGGCCAAUCCUUGAUUGCCUCAACUUUCCUCAGGUCUACAGAAAUUCCACCCGCGGAAAUUACAUGCCCUAGAAAUGCGACUUCUCGGAGCCAGAAGUCACACUUCUUCAACUUAGCAUAUAGCUUUUCCUCUCGAAGGACUUGAAGCACUAUCCUCAAAUGCUCGGCAUGUUCCUCGUCACUACGAGAGUAGACCAAUAUGUCGUCCAUAAAGACCACGACGAAUCGAUCCACGACGAAUCGAUCCAAAUACUUCUUGAAGACACGGUUCAUCAAGUCCAUAAACGCCGCUGGAGCGUUCGUGAGCCCAAAUGGCAUGACCGUGAAUUCGUAAUGUCCAUACCGCGUACGAAAUGCGGUCUUCUGCACCUCCUCCGGCUUGAUCUUCACUUGAUGGUAGCCGGAUUGCAAGUCUAUCUUCGAGUACACGCACGACCCUUGCAACUGAUCAAACAAGUCAUCGAUUCGGGGUAGUGGGUACUUGUUCUUGAUCGUGACUCUGUUCAAUUCUCGGUAGUCCACGCAGAGUCGAAACGAUCCGUCCUUCUUCCGUACAAACAACACCGGGGCUCCCCACGGUGACACACUUGGCCGGAUAAAUUGCUUGUCGAGGAGGUCUUGCAGUUGACUCCUCAACUCCUUUAAUUCUGCCGGCGCCAUGCGGCACGGGGCCUUCGAGAUCGGUGCAGUGCCGGGAAUCAAGUCUAUGACGAACUCGAUCUCCCGAUCCGGCGGUAUCCCCGGCAACUCCGCGGGAAACACAUCCGGGAACUCCCGCACUACCGCUAGCUCUUCCAAUGUUGGAGCUACUCGUUCCACUUCCACAACGGUUGCCAAAAAUGCUGCACAACCGUUGCUCACCAACUUUCUUGCCCUUGUCGCCGACACCGUCGCGACGAAGCACGAGCUCUGGCAAGCUUGAUAGGUGAAUUCUUCUUGUCCUGGCUCACAGAACGUGAUCACCCUGCUUUUGCAAUCGAUCGUUGCAUGAUACUUCGAAAGCCAAUCUAUGCCCAAUAUGACAUCGUACGCUUCUAGUUUCGUGAGCUCCAACGUCCGGAUUGGCAUAAUCCGUUCGCCUAUUUGCACCGAACACGAGGCGCACUCCGAGUAGGUAUUAAAUGUCGACCCAGGGCCCUCUACUCGCCACUUGUCACUCGCUUCUAUAUAUAUGCCAUGCAUGCGUGCGAAUGAUCUACUUAUGAAUGAAUGCGUGGCUCCUGUAUCAAAUAAACCCCUGGAGCGAACUCCGUUAAUUAAAACCAUACCUGCCACAAGGCGAUGCUCCUCCGCCUCUGCAAGCUCCUCAGCUUGGACCUGAGCGGCGAACACCCGUCCGCUCGGGGCCGAUCGCGCCACCUCAGGUGGACGCGACAUCGUCGCGCGUCCAGUCGACGCGGCCGUCGGUGGAGCUCCUCCAUAGUGAGCCGGAAUCACCGGUGCCGAUGCAGUCGAAGGGGCAGGUGAGGCUCCUCCCCCCGGGCAAUCUCAAAUGAAGUGUCCCGGCUGCCCACAUUUGUAGCACUUGCCUCGGCCUUGUUCACAGCGCGAGACCGGGUGGUCUUCGCCGCAUACAAUGCAUCGCCGCGCUCCACCGCCUUUCUGUUGAGUGCGCGGAUACUUCGGGGGUUUCUUAUAACGUGUUUGACCACCCGAACUACCGCCGCCUUGGCGUUUCUUGCCCUUGUCCUUGGACUCCGCCAAAAGCUCACGCUUCUCCCGAACGUGGGCGUCUCCAUGCUCUGCCCAUAGCGCUCGAUCAAAGACCUCAGCAAAGGUCGUGAGCUUAAGUAUUUACACAGCCUUGUAAAUUGUAACAUAUGGAAAACUUGAAGUUGCAAUGUCAACCUUGAUCUAGGGGAUCAAAGUGAGGAUUGAACUAGUUGGACAUCAUCCUCGAGUGAAUUGUGAUGCGUUGGAAUGACUUUCAGAGAUAAAUAAGUGUUUCGGCGCAAAUUGGGCGCGAAACGAAAUAUAAAGAGAAUUUUCGGAUUUCCGACGCUAACUUUGAUUAAAAGAAUUAAAGUAAGGCGUGAGGAUAAAUUGUGGUAUCUCCGAAUCAAUUGUGAAGCUUUGGAAAAGCCAAGGGUGUGUUUUCAAAGGAUUUUGAAGAGCUCAGUGCGAAGUGGUAGUGUAAAAAAGUAGAAAAUGCAAUAGGAGCUGAUUCUAUUGUUAAUUCGGCUCCAAUAAUGUCAAAAUGCAAAGGAAUUGCUUCCAAACUAAAUUAGUAGCUUGUGAAGAUCCCUUGGUAUAUUUUGGAAGUGUUUGGGUGAAAUCGGAGUGAAAACAGAAAAUGUAGACUUUUCUGUAAAGAACGGGACUGAGAAAAUUAGCAGAAAAUGCACAGUGUCAGAAAAUUAUGAAAAUUGGCAAAGAUGUCAGGAACAUUUUUAUGAGGCUAGAUUUGAAGUUUAAUAUUUUUUUGACACCUGUAGAGAGAGAAAUAGCAUAUGAAAGUUAUCUGAUAAAGCUUAUAGUUCGGGACAGUUCGCAGUGACCAAACGGGGUCGAAACUGAAAUGUUAAAAUUUCAGUGGACUUGUUAAGUAAAAAUGAACAUUCUUGUCAAAAUUGAGCUCAAUCGGACUGUCGGAAGGGCUAAACAUAUAUGAAAAUGAACGCGAGAGACAUGAGAAUGAAUAUAUAUAUGAACGGGAAAGCCAUAGUUAUGCUAAAUUCAUAUGUUCAUGAUAUAUAAAUGUUGAACUUGUAAAUAUCAUGUUAAAUCUGUAAAAGCCAAGGGCAUGUAAAUUGAAUAUGAAAUGUGAACCUAGAUGCUAUUGUCGACACUUAAAAGCGAAUAUUUGAGGCAUGUGCCCAAACAUAUGUGAAAAUGAAUAUAUUAUAGUUCAAGCUAUAUGAACGUCGAUAAUGAUUAGAAACCUCGAUGGCAAUAAGUAUAUAAUCUGUAAACCUCACGUGAAAUCCCUAAGUAUUGGGUAUAAAUCGACAACUCCAGUUGAGUAGAAAUCUAAACGGUAACGAGGUAAAUGAAAAUGUGCAGAUUAUAAACCUAGGCAUGGAGAACUAGGAUAUUGAACAGAUCGAGUGGCAUGAACCUAGAGUUAUUAAACAUAGGUUGGACAUGAAAUAAGCCUAGUGUUAUUGAACAUAGGUCGGACAUUAACCUAGUGUCAUUGGACCUAGGUCGAGUAUGUAAACCUAGAGUUGAGAUCUAGGAGAAAGUAUAUAAAACCUAGUGUAAGUGAACCUAGGUUAUGAUGUCAAGAACCAUUUAGUAAAAGUAAACUAAGUUAUGAAUUAUAGUGGCAAUAGGACCACUAGAAAGUGAAUAAUAUAGACCUAAGAAGGUCGUCAACAUAGGGUCAGUGAGUAAACCCUUAAGUUGUGAAAUGGAUUCCGGAAUCCUUAGGAAUGGUGUGAUGGCAGAAAUAGAAUCUUAACUACGGGAUUGACGGUUCUCCUCUCCCGGUAGUGAUUCAACGGGAUCGACGGUUCUCCUCUCCCGGUAUGCCAUGAAACAAGUGAAGUGAAUCGUAACUACGGGAUCGACGGUUCUCCUCUCCCGGUAGUGAUUCAACGGGAUUGACGGUUCUCCUCUCCCGGAGCUAACGGGUUUGACGGUUCUCCUCGCCCGUUGAGCUUGAGCGACUUAGGGUCACGGGGAUCGACGGUUCUCCUCUCCCUGUGAUGGACCUAGUGUCGCGUGGACUUAAGGCUGAGGUGUUGUGAGACGUCCUUCACCUCGAGCCUGACUUGACGCGGUACUCCGCGGUUGAUUGACUCAAGACCGAGUCGAGUGGCUAGAUGGCUAAGGUAAAGUAACCUUAGGAAAGAAUCGCCAGUGAGUACAAUAAGAAUAAAGAAUAAAGCAUAAAGAAAAGAAUAAGGAAAUAGCUAAUGAAUGAAACUAGCUAAGAAAGAAUAAAACAGCUACAAGUAAAGAAUGGCUAAUGAUAUAAAGUAGAAUCAAGUAAUCUACUUACAUGAAUUACAGGUAAUGCAUAUUGCAUAGCAGCGAGGCAAGGUAUGGUUUUAUUGAUCGCAUCGUUAAAUAUCUAUCUAUCUAUCUAUUGUUGAACUAACCUACUGUUUCCUCCUUUGGACCUGGUAGGUCGAGCUCUUCUCUUGGGUGGCCGUACCCACUGGGAACUAUAUUUAUAUAGUUCUCACCCCCGUGUUGUUUUGGGGGUACAGGUUGCACGCGAGCGGCGCGGCGGCGCGAGGACAGGGCGUAGUUCCGUAGAUAGCGCCCCACCACCGAGACCGAGAUAGCAAUACCUUGAAGAAGUUAAGUUCAGAGUUCAAAUUGAAAGAAACAAACUUGUAGUGAAAUUGUAUAAGUUUUGUAAUAACUUAAAGGUAUUUGGAAUUUUGUAAAUAUAAAAUGCUGAGAUGAAUGCUUGUAAUAGCAUAGUUAGCACUUUUUGUUUUUGAUACUUACGCAAUCUGUGGUUGAAUACAGUUUCUGUUUGGAACCUCUUGUAUUGCAUUGUAUAGAUUGUGACACCUAGAACGUACAGGGGAGGCUCUGUCCGUUCGGCGGUCUGUCGGCGUACCCGAAUCCGACCAAAUAGGCGGAGCUCGGGGCGUGACAGAUUAAAUGGUAUCAGAGCAUAAAAAGAGUAAUAGAAACGGUUUAGAUGGACCUAGGAGACCUAGGAUAGUAAACCGUAAGGACUUACGCUCGUGAGAGACGAGGACUUGUGACGUGUGGCGAAAGGUGAAUCGAUUGGGUCAAGUUUAGUAAACCUCUAAGACGGAUAUUAGAGGUAGAUUCAAGGUUCAGUUUAUUCUCAGCCAAGUGAGUUCAUGUUGGGUCGACACAACAUGAAACCGGGGGAUGGGAAUAAGCUUCCUUGCAUGACUUUCGCCCGAUUUGAGUCCGUAUUAAUCGUUUCGUAUUCGGCCUAGAGGGUCGAGGACUGACCGAGUUAUCGUGUCAGGUUUCUGGGAACGAUGGCACCGCGUAGGCGAUCUUCGACUAGAUCGGCGCGGGAUGGGACAAGUGGUGUCCCUGAGCGAACCGAGACGAGCGGAGACUUGGAGCUUCGCGAGCAAUUGGCCACACUCGUGGGAGUGGUCAGGCAACAAGUGGAUGUAGUGCAGCGUCAGCAGGAAGCUGCUCUGCGCCAUGAAGAGCGGAUAAAGAGACUCCAGGGGACAGUAGAUCACUUGGUGACUACACCAGUUGGGGCUAGUCAAGGACAGCCGGGAGUUGCGACGGAGGCAUUUCCGUCAGGGUCGGGCAAUCCGACUGCUGUUAGUACAGAGAUGGAAG
rnacentral:lncRNA from 1 species